rnacentral:lncRNA from 1 species
CGUGGCACACGUUGAGGCGUCUCACCACACCUUCAUACUCCAUCUCACAAUAACUAAGAACGUGCAUUGCCACUGUUCCCUUCUUGGCAUCUUGCAGCUUUUGCUUGAUCUUACCACUAGCGGCAGUGACACGGCUCUUAAAGAUGUCGACAGUGACAAGCACUAAGUCACGGAGGUCCUUAGCCUCGGCACUUCGAUUGUCCGACUGAAGGGUGGACAAACAGAAUUCUUGCGUGAUAGAUUUGUUGCAGGGGUUGUUGAUCGAGGCCUUCUUGCAUGCUUCCACCAUGAGCUUGGUCGCCUUGGGCUUGCCAGUGUCAGAGCCACUAGCAUGAGUGGAAAAAAGGAAGAAUAUGAUGGUGGAGAGGACGAUGGUAGUCCUUGGCAUUGCUACCAUUACUACAGGGCUAGCUAGAAGCCUUGAAGUACUGAAGCGCUGAGAGGGAGGUGGAGAAAAAUAGACAGAGAAGGAUGUGUAUUGCAGAGAUGGAUGGGUGGAUGGAGGUGAUGUACAUGAGGCUGAGAAUUCUUUAUAAUGCCUGCAAUGGGGUAUCAUAAAUGCAGUAUGCAGCUUUGGUCCAGAAUAUGUGUACUAUCGGUGUCCAGUAAAUGUUGAAUGCCCAUUUUGGAUCUCUACAUAUUAAUGCUCUCUCUAUGUUCACAAAUACACAGAUGCUCACUAUAGAUCUUGUUGUAGUAACACAUAUCUUACUUAUAUGAAUCCAUUAAUGCAACGUAGCUUGAUCAAGGAUAUCCCAAAUGAUUAGUGUGCACCGAAUGCCCAUAGAUAUGUUGAUGCUCAUUUUGGUACGUCUUAUUUGCAUUGGUGUUUUCUAAACAUCAUUUUGUAUAACUGAUUUGUUACUUCUACCUCCCUUUGGGGGACGAUUAUAUUUUCCCUCAUCAAGUCUAUAAUUGCUCAUUUUUUCUUUGCAAUUUUCGAGUAGUUACAAAUAAUUCUCAGGGAGCAGGCACUUAGUUAACUUGGUGACACAAUAAAUAUUUUUGUUAAAAUAUCAAAGUUUUAUAUCUUAAAUUUUUUUAUUUCCAAGUCGAUUAUUGUCUGAUGGGUUGACUUUUACAACAGUUGUAUUCCCCCAGUUAAAAAUCACAACUUAUUUUAGGGAUUAAAUGAUGCCAGCCGGACUAACAUAUCAUUCGUAGGCACUGUCAAAAAAUAAGCAUGUUUACUGCCCACCGCCUAAGAAAAUAAAAAAAAAUUACCAAUACCAACACGUCACAGUAUGGGUUUAUUUGGUUUCGAUUCUCGUUACUACGUAGUAGGAAGGAAAAAAAAGAGCUAUCGAUCAUAAGGAGGUAACCUGUAUCAUAGGUACAUGAUGCGCACGUACACGCCGGUAUCUUAUAUUUUAUAUUUUAUAUCUUAUAUUUACUAAUUGGAAGCACCUUUCAAGCCUUCUCAUUAAUCAACAUUAUAAAAAUUAAUUACACCGUUGUAUUAUAGAAUUUACGUCUAAGAUGAAAGGAGAACUUACGUAACAUAAACUUGGAAGGAAAAAAGAUAUAGGGAAAGGAGAAUAAAAAUAGAAGUAAAACAAAGAAAAUAAUUUAGAUGGGCCAGCCCAUUAUUGUUUGCCUUGUGCGAAAUUCUGACUAUUUAUGGCGCUGUGCGGAAAAUAGAGUUUUUCCAGCUGCAUGGGCAGAAAAAUAAGUGGGCUGGCUUUGCUGGGCCACCGCGCGUGGCCCACGUACAACAAUUCUUUUUCUAGCAAACAAACGCAUAAGACCUUUGUACCACCUCGGGUAGAAAGAUUGUUUUUUCGACGGUGAACGGAUGAAAAUAUAGGCAAAACGCACCUUGCUUCAUUAGUAGUAGCACAUAUGCCCGUGCAUUGCAACGGGAGAGAUGUUUCUUUGGAGAAGCAAUGGGAGAGAUAAUUGAUGUAUCCACCAAAAAUGAUCUCCAUAGCGGUGUGAUAGAGAGAGGAGUUGUGGUCUUCUAGCGGGUCAUGUUUCUCCCGCCAGAUAUUGAUAGUGGUGCACUUAGUCGGCAUAGCGGCAACCAUACAACUCGUGCAUUUUUUUCCUUUGGGUCAGUCUCUGUCUCGGGGUUGUGUCUGCCUCUACGUUUGGUAGCUAUGCGGCGACCUUCAGAGCACGGUUGCUUCGACCACUCUCUCUUAUGAUGGCGUAACCGGAUGAAUUACUAAUUGUAGCGCUUAAAUCCUGUUUCAUUAGCAUAUAUAUUUAGCGCAUAACCAGAUAUCAAUGUCCCUUCUUUAUUAGGGUUUAUUUUCUUUGAUUAUUUUAGCGCUCACGUGCCCACAACUAUUUUAUUCGAGCCAAACCAACAUAUUCUCUUUUAUUGGACCAAGAAAAAAUUGCUCCCUCAGACGACUCAGUAGGGAGUGUGGUUGAGGCCCAAUACAGCCUAUAUGACGCUAGUUGCGUAAAAUAACGUGUGAGAUGCACAUCAGUUCGUGUAUGGACCAACACACUGGUAGGCGCCAAGACGACCUAUGUUAGGAAGGCACGGAAAAAUCCAAAAAAUAAUGAGUUGAAGGAUCAAAAUCAUGUCCUGAAAGAGCCGACUACGUGCUCAUUGCCACUCGAAGAAACGAGUCCUACCAACCAAUGGCCAGCUCAAACCUUUAAGAUCAUACUCCAAUGUGAGAUUGGAUACAAUUUUUUUAACUGUUUAAAAAAUAUAAAUUGCUGAAUAUUCCUGAAAACAUGAAUAAUUUUUAAAAUCACAAACACUUUUUGAAAUUCUUUACAUUUUCAGAAAUACACAACAAAAUUGGAAACCCUCAAAAUUCACAAAUUUAUUUGAAAUCAUAAACCUUUUAUAAUAACAUGAACACGUUUUGAAAAUGUGAUUUUGUUUGAAAAAGAAACAUAUUUUGAACAUUCAAAACAUUUUUUGAAAAUGUGUUUCUAUAAACUUGGACAUUACUUUGAAUUUGCGAACAUUUCACUAAAACAAAAAUAUUUUUCAUAUUUGGAACAUUUCCUAAAUGCAUUUUUUUUGGGAAAAUCUCAAACAACUUUGGAAAACACAAAGAAAAAAUGGAACAUUUUUUGAAACGUGAACGAAUUUUGGAAUGAGAACAAAGCACUAUUGGGAAAAGGCUAAUUAGUGGCGCACAUAUUUUUGCUAUUAAUGGCGCACUAUAGGUGCGCCAGUAUUACCACGCCACUAGUAACAAAUAGUAAUGGCGCAUCUAUAGUGCGCCAUUACUAUGCCUAGAAGGUGCGCCAUUACUAUCUGACUUAGUAAUGGCGCACCACAUAGAAGUGCGCCAUUACUAACAAUUUUUUUUCAAAAAAAAUAUCCAAAUUUUUUCAAAUAUUUUUCCCUUUUUUUCUUAAUCUCAGGUCAAUAUGCUUAAUCUCAAGUCAAAUCGAUCCUAUUAAACCUUAUUGAUGUCUAGGACUUUGUUCAUGUUCAUGAGUGUGAUGAAAUUUCAAACUUCCCGGUCAUAUUACGUAUCAUAUUUUGAAAUGUUACUAGUGGCGCACCUAGCAAAUGGUGCGCCACUAGCAAGUUUGAUUUUUUUUGUUUUCCCCUCUCUAGAUCCUAAAAGCCCCGUAUCUUUCAUUCUGUUAGGUUUUUGUGGAUUCUGAAAAUCUUGUAACUUUUCGAGUAGAUGCUUUUUCAUAUAUAAAACUUUUUAAUCCGAGUUCAUAUGUAAAAGUUAUGCCCAUUUUACUAAAUUCCAGAGAGAUUUUGCAAAUAAAGUCGAAAUUUAUAUUUGUAAAUUUUCCCAAAACCUAGACCACAUAUCACAUGGAAAACUUAUUUUCUUUUAUUUUUUUGACAUUUCCAUCAUUUUCUUUUUUUUUCUAAAACUGAAAAGACGGUCCAGGGGGUGGGGGUGCAAAGAAAGUUAGUAAUGACGCACCUUCACAAAGUGCACCAUUAUUAUGUGUAUGACUUGGUCAAACCUUGGUCAAAGUUAGUAAUAACGCACUUUGUGUAGGUGCGUCAUUACUAAGUUUGACAUACUAAUGGCGCACCUAUGCAAAAAUGCGUCAUUACUAAGUUUGAUCAAGGUUUGACCCAGUCAUACACAUAGUAAUGAUGCACUUUGUACAGGUGCGCCAUUACUAUGUCAACUAGUAAUGACGCACUAUCCUCUAGUGCGCCACUGCCAACAAUUUUUUUUAUUUUUUCUUCAAAACUAGUACUAGCGCACCACACACCAGGUGCACCACUAGUAAUAUGUCAAUAAUGUUGCACCUGUAUCUAGUGCGCCACUGCAUAUAUGGUGCGCCAUUAAUGUCCACAUUAGCUAUAGCCCUUUUCCUAAUAGUGAAGAUUUAAUGUUCUGAACAUUUUUCGAAAAGGAAUAUUUAUUAACAUCCCAAACAUUUUUAAAAAACGGAUUUGUGUGAUAUUAUGAGUUUUAUUGAAAAUUUUGGUUUUACGAAAAAAGGGGAGAUAAAGAAAUAAACUUGAAAGUAAAAAAGAAAAAAGAAAAGAAAAGAAAAUAGAAACCAAUGGAGAAAGAAAAAUAGAAACAUAACACAGAACAAAAAAAAACGGUUCGACCGAGCUCGAGCGCCCGAUGCGAAUUUGUGACUAUUUUGGAAUGAGAACAAAUAUUUAUAUUAUAAACUUUUUCAAAAAGGAAUAUAUUUAAAGUUCUGAACAUUUUUUAAAAAAAUUGAUUCUUAUGAUAUUAUGAAUUUUUUGAAAAUUUUGAAUUUACAAAAAAAGGGAGAAAAAUAAACUUGAAAGGAGAAAACACCAAAGAAAAAGUGAAAGAAAUGGAAAAAAAUAGAAACAUAUUUUAAAGUUCUGAGCAUUUAAAAAAAUCGAAUUUUUAUGAUAUUAUGUAGUUUGUUGACAAUUUUGAAUUUACGAAAAAAGGAGAAAAAGGUCAACUUGAAAGGGAAAAAGACCAAACAAAAGGAGAAAGAAACGGAAAAAGAAAAACAGAAACAUAACACAAAACAAAAAAAAGAAUAUAUUUCAGCCCAGCUUGGGCGCCCAGUGCGAAUUUACGACUAUGUAACGCUAAUUGCGAUAAAUAGGAUUUUUCCACCUGCAUGUACACGAAAAUAACUGGGCUGGAUUUCCUGGGCCAAUACUGUGGGCGGCCCAUGUACGAGAUCUGGCGUUUUUCUUUUCUAAUAGACAAACGGACAAAAAAAUUGUACCACCUCGAAUAGAAAAAAAAUCUUUUCGUUGGUGAACGGAUGAAAAAAUCAAAGAAACACACCUUGCUUUAUUAGUAGGUAUAGAGGUAUAGAUAUAGAUAUAGAUAUAGAUAUAGAUAUAGAUAGUAUUGAUAGAAAAAUGAAAUUUUCCAUCCAUGCUAAUCUUAACAUAAAUUGUUUAAGAAUUCGUUGGUACACAUAAAAACAUCUAAUGUGAAUAAUCUAUGGUUCUUAUAGUAUUUGCUAGGAUAUCAUGUAUGUUAAAGGAAAGUCAUGCAUGCAUGUGUCCAUUAUUGUGUAUAGAAACAAAGUAUUUAUAAUUCUACCAUUCUUCCGUGGCAAAAACAAGCAUGUAUUCCUUCUUUUAGGUUAACUAAGAAAGGCUACAAUAGAACACUCGACCUUUAUGCCUUUUAGAAACUUCUAGAUCACGAGUGCAUGAUGCACACAAUAACUUUUGCGUUUGUAACUAUGUUUUCUACCAACAUAAAAAAUAUACCCUUAUAUAACCUUCAUAAAGUAGCACAUUCUUAUUUCCACAUAUCUUCUAUAAAUUUGACGUGAUUUUCCAUCACACAGCGAUAUUUUUAUACUUUUGUCACAAAAUUGGACAUAAACAAUCAAUCACAAAAUAGUCAAAGAAUUGUAACUUCAUUGGAUCCAAUGUGCAUGUGUAAUAAUAAUAACCUAUAUCCAAAUGAUUGUUUGAUAUUUAUAAUUUGUCAAAAAUAUGUUAUAUCUGAUAUUACAAUUGCUAGCCCGUGCAGGUGCACGGAUUGACGACUAGUGAUAUGUAGAUAGAAUUAAUUAUGAUUACCACUCAAUAAUUUUUCUUUAUGGAUAUCCAAAUUUAUGUUUAGAAUCAACAUUUCUACUUCAAUUUUUUCCGGGGAUUUUUUUACUUAGUAAACAUAUGGAUAUUUAGAAAUUUUUUGUGCUAAUUGUGUGCUCUCCUUAGCCUAUGUUACAAUGCAUGGUUUUCUCGGUUAUUUUAGAAAAUGCAUGUACUUCUCUAUCGCCAACUUCUCACAGAUGGAGUUAAGUUUCGUAAAAGUUUAGAAUGGCAGCCAACAUGAAAAAAGAUAAAAGUAUCAUCAUUUGCACAUUUUUUUUCACCUUCUUCACUAUCUAUAUUUAUGGAUAUUCACUUUGCGAUUUAUAUUUUCCCAAUUCGCUACAAAAGCGCAGAACAAACAUUUUAGAAAAUAAAUGCAAAAUGUGUAAAAUAAAAUGUGUAGGUACAUAAUUAAAAAUCUUGGACGACGAUAACUGCCACACGUGUGGCAUCUAGGGGCUAUGUGCCGCACGCCCCGUGUGGCAUCGACACAGGCCCGCCCGCACGAGCACGUCCGCGUGCACCCCACCACAGCCCGCACGUUCGGUGUGCGGCGCAAUCGCCCGCACUAGCACGUCCGGGCGAGCGACCUCACGGCCCGCACGACCCGUCUCGGCCCUCGCCCCUCCCCGCCUGCGAGCCACACGCCCCGCGUGGCAGUAACCACGCGUCCCGCCGCGAUUGCCAUGGUCUGAACCCUCUUCCAUGUUCGUUUAACUGUAGUUGCCAUGUUGCUGAACUGCAGUUGCCAUGUCUGACAACUACAGUUGCCAUGGUUGCUCAACUGCAGUUGCCAUCUCAGGUCAAGUGUCGGAUGCCAUUUUUGGGCAACUGUAGCUGUUGCCAUGUAUGGUCUGGUCUACUACAGUUGCCAUGAUUUGAAAACUUUAGGAUUUACAACCUACUAACACUAGACAGUUGCCAUGUAGCACUACAAAAGCAUGGCAAAAAACAUGUUCAGGUAAAAGAGAGAGUUGCCAUCUGCUUACAAGCACACUAGGGCAGUUGCCAUGUACCCUGCAAAAACACAUGGCAACUGAUAGCUUUUGGUGUGUGGGAGAGGAGACGGGCAUGUGGGCGACGAUGGUAUCUUUAGGAGUUGCCACCUACUAACACUAGACAGUUGCCAUGUAGCGCUACAAAACAGACGUGUCAACAAUAACAUGUUCGGGGUAAAGAGAGUUGCCAUCUGCUUAUAAUCACAAAUAGGGCAGUUGCCACACACUAGCACUGGACAGUUGCCAUUUAGCGCUACAAAAACAGACGUGGCAACAAUAACAUGUUCGGGGUAAAGAGAGUUGCCAUCUGCUUACAAUCACAAAUAGGGCAGUUGCCAUGUACCCUGCAGAAAACAUGACAAAUGACAACUUGGUGUGGGAGAGUGGGAAAAAGGGCAGUCAUGGGAGAUGGGGAACAGAAGUCGUGCGCGGCGUGCGGGCGCGACAGCAGUUCCACCGCACGCCCCGACUCGCAAUCGGUCUCGUCCGAGGGAGAAACAGCGUGCGGGCGAACUACCUACACACCACACACCGGGCUUGUCCUACUUGGCACACCAAAUCCAACUUUUGGUGUCAGGAUUCAUGCAAAAAACAACCAACGACAAUCCAGGCGUGUGGGCGAGUUGAAAACGUUCCACGCGUGUAGGCGUUAGUGUUUCCGAAAAUCUUAUAUCUCCGUCUCAAACAAACAAAAGCCUCCUUCCAUAAGAAACAGCUCAUACGUGAAACUCUUCUCGCCUAUUAAAAAAAAGGAAAAGCAUCCCUCCCCGAAAAAAGAGAAAACGUCUUCACUAGCUCCUGUACUUUUUUAGGCAACCACGUCUCCUCUAUAUGGCCAGAUCUUUCAAGGCUUCUUACUAAUCAGACCACUACGUUGUAAAUUUAUAUCCAAUAAAGAAAACCUGCCGAAUCAUAGAUGGUCUCGUCCAAAAAAAUGUCAUGUGAUACGUCCAACGUUGUCAAAAAAACAUCCUCCAUUCCUUAAAGAGAAAAGAUAGCGUCCUUAGAAAAGCACUACCAAUAAAAGGAAAAGAAAGACGGAAUCCAAUUGAUGACCGAUGAAACUCCAUAAAUAAAAUCUUCUGUCGAUCGAUUUUAAAAGAAGAAACAUCUGGCUCAGUUCCUCUACAUGGCCGCAUACUCCACUUCCUCUUCAAUCCUGCUCUCCUACAUGUGGCUGGUGGUGGCGAUUUCUCUAACCGAAGGAUAUACCCAACUCGCCAUCACCAUCAAGUGCGCUCUCCCACCAGCAGGGCCAACAACAAACUGCAAAGGAACCUGACGACAGGUGCUGCGAGGUAUGAUGCAAGAUCGACUGCGACCCCAAGCGGCAAUCGAUCUUCCUCAUUGUUAUUGUCACCGCGUCUCCUUCCAUCCACCCCGGGCAUCAAAGUUCACCCUAUUUUAUGAUAAUAAAAAAGUCCAACUACCAAGUACAAGCUCUAAUAAGUUCUUCUUGGAUUCAUGCUCCGACAAGACUAUGAUCCAACUAUGAUAAUAAUGGAUUAAGGCGCAGAUUGCUAACACUUAUCUGCAUAUAUAGUACGUAUGCAUGUCUUUAUUUUGAUCUUAGAAAAAAGAGAAAAUUAGCUAUUAAAGCAUCUUUAAAUACAUACAAAUUACCGAAGUAACAAGAAAAUAUGGAUGUACCAUGCGCCACGAAGAUCUAAUAGACACACAAUUAUCUAUGUGGUAUAGGUAUGUAUACAGUAUGGAUAGAAAAUAUAAAAAAAUGACAUCCGUAUUAAAAAUAUAAGAAAUUCUUUAAGAAUUUGUUUGUUGAGACUAGAACUUAAAACCGGAAUAAUCUAUGGUGCUUAUAGUAAUGAGAAUAUACUACAAACUUUUGUUUGCCAUCACACAAUGACAAUAUUAAUGAGGUUGUCACACAAUUGGAGGCAAACAAUCAAAUAACAAAAUAGUCCGAAGCAAUGUAACACUGUUGAACCUUAUGUCUAACAAAGAUAAACAUGCAUGUGUGACAACAAUAACCCAUAUCAACAUAUUAUUAUUGGCUGACAUUUCUAAUUUGUAACAACUUUGUUGUAUGCAAUAUUAAAAGUGCUAGCCCGUGCAUGUGCACGGGUUGAUGACUAGUAUAAUAUAACUCUGAGACAUGCCUAUAUAACCUCUUAUUUGCAUACGUUCUUUUAAAACAUAGCAUAGACAAACCACAUUACAUUAUAAUAAUGAAUUUGUUUUUUCUCGGUGACAGGGUAACUGUUAUUUCUAUGUCGACCAGUUGUACCUUGAAAGAAAGUGUUAUAAAACAAUUAUGUUACUCCCUCCUCCAUCACUGUUUUCAUUGACCAGAGCCCCCACUCCACACAUAUCGACAAGCUCGGAGUCCCGCUCAUCGAUAUGAUCGUAUGCCAUAUCCACACAACUGGCGAGCUCAUUGGAGCGUAGCCCGUCCUCGUCGCCUUGGUAAUCCCUGAUCGUGGCAUCACAUAUGUUGAGGAUGCUCACCAGUCAUAAUCCGCCUCACAAAAACUAAGGACACGCAUUGGCACCGUGCCCUUCUUGCUUCAUGUGUCUGUUGUCUUGGCGCACCCAUUUCGUCCACCGCCAUCCGUUUGUGUCGGCGCGGACAGAAAAGUCGGCCCAACGCGCCGACACAAAUGGACGCGCGUCCGAUUUCGUCCGCCUGCCUAUCCAUUUCCGGCCCAUUUUUUAGCCGGAUUUGCGUCGGCGGAGACAAAAGACGGACGCACGCGCUCACCCUCUCUCCUUUCCGGGCGCGCUGGUCGGUGGCACAUUGGCCUCUCCACAUCAAACAACACACCCUCGCCCGCCUGCUUCAUCGCUGACGCCGCCGGUCAUUUUUUCCGAUAGAAAAAUGAUACAUAGAUAGUUUUAGCAUACACAGAUAAAAAAAAGAUCAACUACUCGUCGCUUUCCGACUUCGACUCGGUAAUGUCCUCCUAUGACGUCUAAAUGUAGGCGUCAGCAUGCUGAUCAUCUUCAAAGUCUCACCCCGGCGUUUCUCGUAGCUUCAGUUUCAAUUGAGCGGCCUGCUUGCGCGCACGCUUGUCCUCCCGAUAGGCGGCUCGCUCCGUCCUCCUCACCUCCUUCUCCGUCCUCCUUUGCGUGUAGAACUGGCGCUCAUUGACGAUGUCCUGCAGAAAGCGUUCGCGCCACACCACCAUGGCUUCCAUGUCCAUCUCGGUGAUGGCGAGGCGACGCUGCCGCCUCCGGUGGACACGACGAUCCUCGUCGGUGAAAUGCCGCGGGAGAGGCGCGAGAUCCUGCGCCGCUGGCUCGACACGUCAGGAAAAUUCAUAUCCCAACGAGGCCUCAGGAGGCACGACGCCGCCGCGUCGUGCGCGCGGGCCGACUCCUCUGCGGUGUUGAAGGUGCCGAGGAUGAGGCGUUUCUCGCCAAACCUGAUCUCUGAGGAGAAGGCACCAGAGCGGCGCUCGCGGACUCCGCGAAAAUUUGAAGCGCCCAGGCGGCGCAUCGACAUGGUGGCGCAGAGGCGGCGAGGCUAGUGAUAGGGGGCGACACAAGUGGGCGGCGGACAGAGUGUGGAGGGAGCGCCUUCUUAUAACGAGCGCCGGCCGCGGCGCGCGCGCGAACCUUUCCCGCGCGCUGGAGCACCGAAACCAGCACGCGCUAGGCCACUUUUCCCCCACGCGUGUGAACCUUUCCCGCGCGCUGGAGCGCCAAAACCAGGGAGACGGCAUGGCAGCUGGCAUGAUCGAAAGCGCGUGCGAUCAUGAAGUGGGUCGGACCGUUGGACGCACUGCCGACCCAAAUCUAAAAGAGGGCGGACGGCGGGCGGGCGGCAGACCCAAACGUACAAAAAGCGGACAACAACGCCGUCCAUCUGGGUCGGCCCGUUGAAGUUGCUCUUAGGGGUGAACCUCUGUCUCCCGUAGGGCCCCAUGUGUUUGACAACACAUGGGGUGGCCUGUUCAGCACGCCAGUGUGAAAAAUCAUGACACAGGCAUGAGGUAAUAGUUAGUGGUCUACUCCCUACGCCUGGGAGUUAUCACAUCAUAGGAGUAGGUAGCUCCAGUAGAUAAGUUUCCCUAUAUUGGAUAAAGAUCAAUGGAACGCCUCGUAGGUGUGAGUAGCGAGUUGCCAAAUAUAUAUGUUAUACGGAAUUAAAUUAUAGGAAUCCUGCUAGCUGAGCAGCUGUGAUUUUCCUUUUGAAAAGUAAGGAAAUGGAAUAGGGAGAAGAUUUUGCAUUUUAGAAUAAAGAAUCUGCUCAAGAUGCUCUAUAAUAUUUCCUGACUUGGGCACAUCAUUGUUUUCUUUUAUUUGAGACGCAGAUUGGAGCACAGCAUUUGCUGGUAAUUAAGCAAAUGCAUGAUGCAUGCCAACAUGACACUUGGGAAAAUAACAAGACUACACUUCCUACAGUAAUACAGAUUCACGCGUAAGGUCAAGUCUAAAAAGAUGUAUCGGGAUCAGCUUCCAUUUCAUAUACUCCAUGGUGGAAUAUGAUGUCACGCUUGUUAUCAAGGUUUUGGAUCGGGAGUGAACAGUGGACUAGACAAACCAGUGUGCCAGGGUGGUCCAAUAGUAGAAAUCUUUACAUAAAUUUAUUUAUUUUCAAAGAAAUAAUUUUUCUACUACACUAUAUACAUGCUGUGGGGAAAAUUCAGGGUGGUCCAUGUCCACCCCCUAGCUAAGCCACUACGAGCGGACCUUUUCUCUAAAGGGGCACCAAAAUUCGAGGUUACUAAGGUAACCACGAAAUACAAAAAAAUCAGACGAAAUUAGAAAUCAUUUUAAGUUGAUAUAGAUAGUUAUUUAUCUUUACCUAAUAAUAAAGUAUAAAGUGCGUCUACCCGUUCACCAUCAUCCAAAUUACCCUCGAAGUUGGCGAGAAUUACCCACUAAUGCCACCUGUAAGUGGCAAAAAUAAUUCGCUUUUUUCCAUGCUGGUUCAAUAUGAAGCUAUCUUCUUAUGUGACACAAGUACAUGCGCAUCCCACCGGCUAGAGGUUCGAUCCCAUGUUCUCCCCAUUCUAUCUCCCUUUUCUCUCUUGUUGUUAGAGGGUUGAUUGCGCCAGCCCAGCACGGCCUUCAACUCUCUUUCUUUCCUUUCUUACAGACAGUUUUUCUUUCUUUCGGCUUUAUUUCGAAAUACUUUAAAUAUUUCUAUGCAUUAAAGAAAUGUUAAACUUCUCUACAAAAAAUAUUUCCACUAUAUAUAAACAAAUGGGUAGUGUGUAUGGAAAGCAAAAUUAGGAAAAUAAUAACGUAAGUUUCUGUUUUUUUGAAAAAAAUUAAGCAUGCAUUUAAAUAAAUUUAAAUGUGUACAAAAAUUGUUUAUGAUGUAUACAAAAAUAUACAAUAUGUUUAGAACAAAGUAGACAUAAAAAAGUAUAUGUCUUCAAAAAUAUUAAUCAUGUAUUUGGACGAUGUUAACCAUGUACAUAAAAAUGAUCAUGAUGUACACAAGAAAUAUAGAAUGCGUAUAGGAAAAUUGGAAAUCAAAAAACUUAUGGUUAAAAAAAGUUGAAAACUAAAUUGGAAAAAUGUUAUACUUGUAUAUCUAAAUGUUUGUCAUGUAUACAAAAAAAAUACUGUGUUCAUGGAGAAUAUAGAGAUAAACAAAAUAUUUUACCAAAUGUUAAUUAAUUAUUUAAAAAUGUAAUAAUUUAUUUUUAAAUUUCUAAAUGUGAUAUAAAAUGUUUCUGGUAUAUAAAAAAAAUUUAUAGUGUAUAUGAGCAAACGUAGACAUAAAAAAUAUAAGUUCUCAAAAAUAUUAAUUAUAUAUUUAGAAAAUGUUAAACAUGUAUAUAAAAAUUAUUCUUGGCGUAUAAAAAAUGUAGAAAGAAAACGAACAAAAACUAUAAAAUUGAAAAAGAAACAAAAAAAGCAAAGAAAGCAAAAAAAUAGCAAAACCCGUAAAACCAAAAGAAUAUACCAAAAAAUAAGAAAGAAAAAACAAGAAUGAUAAAAACGUGCUAUCAUUAAUUACUAACAUGUACUUUGUUAUCUUCAUCACACUACAAAUAUUUGUUGGGCAUCAUCAAGGACGAACGACAACAAAUGCGUAAUGAGAUACCUCCAACUAGGUAGAUAUUUUUGUUGUCUAAUAAGUUAAAAACAUCUUGAGUACACUUCAAAAAUCAUCCCAUUUUUAUAUUUUUACACAACACCACUUAUCAUGUUAUUUGUCAUGUGACAUCGUGAAAGAUUUCAAGGGAUUUACUAAUGUCUUGAGAGUGUGUAUGAGGGGUGACUUUUUCUCCCCCGUUGAAAGAACACAAAGCCUGCCCUUCUUCGGAAAACACACACACACACACAUACACACACAAAGCAAGCCCUACCGUAUUGGCUGUUCACCCUUAGCUGCCGCUUGGUCAAACGUCGCGAGUUUGACGUUCUUACCUUUUGCAUCCUCUAAAAGAAGUAAAAAUGAAAGCGAUGAGACUCGAACCCGAGACUUGCUGCUGCGGAAAGCUUGGCUUUGCCACCUAGGCCAUGACCUGUCAUGAUGUUCAAUAAGAGAUGCCACGUAUUUAACUAUGAGGUGGGCGUUUGAAUUCAAAAGUUUCAAAANNNNNNNNNNNNNNNNNNNNNNNNNNNNNNNNNNNNNNNNNNNNNNNNNNNNNNNNNNNNNNNNNNNNNNNNNNNNNNNNNNNNNNNNNNNNNNNNNNNNNNNNNNNNNNNNNNNNNNNNNNNNNNNNNNNNNNNNNNNNNNNNNNNNNNNNNNNNNNAAGAACAUUAUUAUUAUUAUUUCAAAUGGAAGUAAUGUUGGUUUUACAUGAACAUUGUUUCUGGCAGAAAAUCUUAUAUUUACUAAUUGGAGGCACCUUUCAUGAUCUCUCAUUAAUCCACAUCAUCAAAAUUAAUUAAACUGUUGGAUUGUAAAAUUUAUGACCAGGAUUAAAAAAACAACUUGUGUAACGCAGAUGAUGCUGUCCUAUAAAAAGUGCACCUGACACGUACAACUUUUGUUAAACAAACAAAGAAAAGACUCACAUAAAAAAACGGAAGCCACAAGUAAAAAAGGGAAAGGCCCCACCAGUUCCCACAAAUUAAGUAGAAAAACAGCCUCAUGCAAGAAAAAGAGGAAAGUCCCUACCGUAUCCCACAAAUUAAGAAGCAAAAUUUUCCAUAAAAAAACCUAAUGAUAAGAUGCCAAAACAAAAUCCCAACGUUAAAGGAAAAAAAUCGACUAUCGGGCAGAUUGCCCGUGAAAUAAAAGAAAGCAAACUCGCGUAACAAAACUUAAACCUCCACCCAUCUGAACAAAUAAAAACACUAUGUACCAAACAGAUCAAGCCAAAAUGUACAAAAAAAAUAGAAGUCACGUAAAGAAAAAGGGAAAGUCCUUAGCAUCCGCGUUACUUCUCAUAAAAAAAUAGGGUUCUCACCACGUACAUAUAAUUGAAGAUUAAGCACACGCCUUCCAAAAAAAAUAGUCCUUAGCAUACACGUUACUUCCCAGAAGAAAAACAAGCUACAAAAACAGUUUUCACCACAUACAUGAAAUAAAAUCUUACAAAGAAACAUACGGCUUGAUCUUUGGUGUGGGACAUGACAAAAAAAGACACAACCUCAAAAAAUGACUUCGCAUUACGUAUGUGAAAUAAAACCUUGCAGAAAAAAAUACAUACAUGAAAUAAAAGAUUAAACAUACAUGACCAAAUAAAAACAAGGAAAGCCUCACGUCAAUCGAAAAAGCAAAGGAAAAACUCCACCCGCUGCACAAAUUAAGAAGGAAUGUCUCUGUUAAAAACUCCAAGAUAAAAUGUAAAAAAAGUCCAAUGAUAAAAAUGGAAAAAUUCCGCGAUCCAGCUGAUUGACCGUGAAAUAAAAACUAGACCCAAUGGCUCCAUCAAUAAAAUAUUCUCCCGACAAAAAUCUGUGUGGACUCAUCUGUACGGCCGAUGCCUCCUCCUCUGCUUCAAUCCUGCUGUCCUACCAAUGGCCGCCGAUCACGAUUAUUUGUCACUGAAUGUGCUUUCCCACCUGCAUGGCCAUCGGUGAACCACAAAGUGUCACAAGGGCGGCCUAAUUUAUUUUUCUAUAUGCUACAACAAAAAUACCUCUCAUGUUUAGUUGGACAGUAUAUUUUUUAAAGGGAUAUUGAAGCUGAAGUUUGUCAACCACGGAUGUGGAGCUGGUCGAGACUGGUGGCUAGAUGACAAAGGCUCCGCUCGGCAAGGAAAGAUUUGCAUUGAGCUAAGACUCAUGACUAAUUGAUAUAAUCUAAGAGAUGAUGAACCAAGAAAAUUAUAUUAGAAAUAAGUUGGAUGUUAUUUGCAUUAUUCUAUUUUGAGGAGUAAAAUUAUUUUUUUGGGAAUUAGACAAUCAAACUAUUGUUAUGAUUUCUUGAACUGGCCACAUAGGCCACAUAAAUUAUGAAAUUACUUUUCAUUGACGGAAUUUCGUUUGUGAAGAUAGCAUAGGGGCAACCGAUCAAUGUCCCCGGUAAUGAGUACUCAAUCACAUCAUGUUUGGUAGUACUACUGUAUGGGUGUUCUACAUAAAAGCAAAUGUAAGUAGACAACAUUAUAAUUAUUAAUUUUGUCCAUUAUAUUGCAAAGUAAAGGAUAUCCGUGUGGUCAAAAAAAAUUAGAUCAAUAUUGCACCACUAUAUGUCUUUUUGUCAAAUUUAAAUCCUGUUCAAGUUUAUACUGCUUUUCUUACUACUCCUAAUAAAUGAUCAGAACAAGGAAGCUUGCAGUUCUGUAGGGGAAGACCGAUCCUUGACGAGCAUUUCUAGCGUGACACAGAUAAAUAACAUUGGAUGGAGCGGCUCGACGACCUCCUCAUGUACGCUGCCGGACGCUGGCUGCAUCCGAUGACGCCGGGAGCAAGGUAGUGGUGUCGUGUAAGUUCAUUUUAGAUGCUAAGGACUAUUAUGCACAACUUAGUACUAUUCUCUUGAAAGAUAAACUACUUUGUCUGACAUGCAUACUUGCGAUUAUGUAGACUUAACAUGUUUUUACACAGGUGCAGAUUACGAACGCUAAUUAUUUGCACAUAUAGUACGGUUGCACAUCUCUUUUUUUUGUCCUGAUAAGUUAUAAAAAAUAUAACUAUUAAAGUAUCUUUAAUACACAUAAAUUUUUUUAGUAAAAAAUAAUGUGGAUGUUUCCUGCACGACAAAGAUCUCAUAUAAACAAAUGAUUAUGUAUGUGAUAUACAUAUGUGUAGCAAGGAUAGAAAGUACAAUAAACUUUCAAGCACAUUAAUCUGAAAAGAAAUCCUCUUAUGAUUUUCUUUGCACAAAUAUGAUAGUGAAAUACGAUUAAUCUAUCACACAACUCCAAUUCAAUCGUGAAAGAUUUUCUUUAAGAAUUUAUUGGUUAAUACAAGAAUAUAAAAUACAAAUAACCUAUGGUGCUUAGCGUAAUCAAGAAUUGCAGAAAUCAAACUUUUAUAUAUUAUUUGCUACAGUGUUACAUACUACUUCUCCAAAUAAUUCUUUUUAGUCUGCAUAUAAGAUUUGCCUGAAGUCAAACUUCAUAAAGUUUGAGCAUAUUUAUAUUGAAAAAUAUUAACAUGUACAAUACUAAAGUCACAGAGUAUAAAAAUUAAGAUUCAUGCCGCAUUUAAUGAUAUUGAUUACACAUUGAGAAUAUUGAUAUUUUUUCUGUAAGUUGGUCAAACUUUACGUUGUUUUACUUCAAAUAAAUCUUCUAUACAGAGUAAAAUAUCUGGCGGGAGUAUUUAAUAUUAGAAGUGCUAGCCCGUGCUGAUGCACGGGUUGAUGACUAGUAGAUUAUUAACUAUCAAAGUCAUAUGGCCCUAGCAAGACAUUGUUCAGGCCGCCCAGCUUGAUCAACUCCUCGUUAUCGUUGAUAACUGUCUGGCUUUUCAUGGGAAGCUCAUGCCGGCAGUUGCUGACAUGGUCAGUCGCCUUCUCCACACACUCGGGCAGUUCAAAGAACCACGGGCCGUCGGCGUCGCCCAUGGGGACACGGAAGUCCCUGAGCAUGGCGUCGCAGAGGCCGAGGGUACCGAUAGCAGCAUCGUAAUCCACCUGGCAAUACCUGAGGCCGAGCGCCUCCUCCGUACCUUUCUUGGCUUUCUGGAGUGCUUCCUUCACCUUGCCGCCGGCAGCCGCCAUGUGGAUCUUGAGGAUGUCAACGGCGACGAGCGACAGGUCGCGGAGGUCCUUGGACUCAGAGCUCCUUUUGUCGGACCGGAGAGUCUGCACGCAGAAUUCCUGGGUGACGUUCAGGUGCUUGUUGCGGCAGCUGCUCGAAGCGUUCUUGCAGGUUUCUACCACGAGGUCUACCACCUUGACCUUGUCGUUGCGCCGCCGGCAUGUGCGCCGAUGCACACAAAAAGGAGCAUGAUUGCAACCAAGAAGGCAGCGGUCGCCCGUGUGGUUGCCAUUGCUGCAAGGAUAGCUGCAAUUGUAUUGUAGGCUUUGUAGCUGAGAGAGAGGUGAAGAUGAAUUGAUAGUCAGAUUUUGUAGUGCAAAGAUGGAGGUGGUGUACGGUUCUUGUGACAUCUAUAUAGUGCAGCAGCAGGUUCAUAAAUCCAAUGCAGCUUAGUCACGGAUAUCCAAAUAAUUAGUAUUUCAGACACUAUAUGCGCAGAUAUGUGUUGGAAAAAUGAGCAAAUUACUACGAGAUUUAAUCCGAAUAAAUAGGAAAUAGAUCAUGACAGCAAUAGCAGAUAUUAAACUAAUCAUGCGAACUAGCAUACUAGAUGAACAGAUCACAUCUAGGACACAUACUAGAAACAUGAGUUCUACGGUGCAGCACCGCCGGCGUUGACGUUGUCGCCCAUGUCGUCGAGGAUGAGGUUGCCGAGGUCGGGGAAGAAGUCGUCGUUCGCGAAGUCGUCGCUGCCAGCAGUCGCGCGAGUGCGCUCCCCAAAAACCUGAUCGCCCCUCUCCCAUACAGGAUCACGAGAGGCAGGGUUCUAGAGGCCUGCUGUCCCUUCUCCCGGUGCACGCCGAAAGGAGGGAUGGAGAAGACUUGCUUGGCGGCGCAAUGAUCUGGAACGGUGGUCAGAAACCAUACGAAGCGGCGGCGGCUAGGAUAGACGUCUGCCUGACUAUAUAGUGCGGGCCGGGUAGGUCCUGGGAGUAAACCCCACGUCCGAGUCAUCACGAUCCAAAAGAAUCGGAAAUGGUUCAGUAAUUAAUGAGUCCAUUAAUUAUUAAUUAAUGACUCAUUAAUUUUUCCCGAGCAGCAAAAAUAUAGACAGCGUGCAUAGCUCUGUCCUCGGCUUGGCUCAAUCCCGCGGCGCGGCGGGGCGGGGCGAGGCGAGCGAGGAGGAGGAGCGCGCGUGUAGGUCUCCUCUUCUCAUGCUCAUACAAGUGGUAGAAAAGCUCACCUUAUAAAGAGGUGCAACUCUCUCUCAACUUUCGGGGUGGGACUAAACUUUAGUCUCACCCACUCCACUCACAUGUGUGCAUGAAUGGGCCAAGAGAAUUUCAGAAUUUUAGUUGGGCUUUGGGCCAAGGCCUACUAGCAAAAUUCCAACAAUCCCCCACAAAGUCUCAUUGGCACAUCUCAUCAUUUAGUUCCAAAACAUUGUUUAUAUACCGGUGCUUAGUGGAGACUGUGAAGUUGAACUUCCACUUAAAGAUUUAUGCUACACUAGAUCACAACUUGAAUAGUGGACUAUGCCUUGAACUACAAGUUUUCUGCGAAACUAGUUUCACACAAAUUCUUGACCGAUACUGGGCUGCCGCAAGGCUUCCCCGCGGGUGGAGCGUAUACGCCAUACUCCAGGGCAUUUUCAUGAAUUUAUUAGAGAACACCCAAUUCUCACAGACUGCGACGUUAACAGUCAAAUUCAUAUAGGUGUGUUCCUCAGAAGAUGUUCUGCAGGACAACAUCUCUGCUUACCCGAAUAAGCCACUUGGAACACAUUAAGAUAAGUAUCAACCUGCCAUGCAGAUCAGGAGAGUAUUGCAUCUUCACGGAGUGGGAUAGUUAAUAUAGGGAUACUCUCCUCCCAGCUGACCAACAGCUUGUCUCCCACUUCUACUUCACGGGAUCUCCGAUCACAUAGAGUGGGUUACCACUAUGGACAACUCAUGCGGUGGGUCUCAAACCCAUCUCCAUCGAUGCAUUAUCUAUCACAUUAUGUGAUAGACCCUUUGUGAAGGGAUCUGCCAUGUUUUUCGAUGUUUGGAUAUAAUCCAACGUAAUAACUCCGGAGUUCCUCAAUUUUCUGACAGAUUUUAGUCUCCUCUUCACAUGUCUUGAGGACUUCAUAUUGUCCUUCGAACUGUUUAUCUUGACAAUCACAGUUUGAUUAUCACAGUUCAUCAGGAUAGGGGGUAUUGGUUUUUCAACCAUAGGUAAGUCCAUCAAGAGUUCACGAAGCCACUCUGCUUCAACAGUGGCAGUGUCUAAUGCUGUGAGUUCUGCUUCCAUAGUUGACCUCAUUAAGAUGGUCUGCUUGCAAGACUUCCAGGAAAUAGCGCCACCACCAAGUGUAAAAACAUAACCACUCGUGGGCUUUAUCUCAUCAGAAUCAGAUAUCCAGUUUAAGUCACUAUAACCCUGCAGUACCCUUGGAUACCCGGUGUAGUGAAUCCCAUAGCUCGCGUAGCCUUUCAAAUAGCGAAUAACUCUCUCAAGAGCAUGCCAAUGAUCAUCUCCCGGUUUUGACACAAACCGACUCAGCUUGCUCACAGCAAAAGAGAUGUCAGGCCUCGUGGCACUCGCCAAAUACAUAAGCGAGCCAAUAAUCUAAGAAUACCUCAGUUGAUCUCUAGCAAUCCGUUGAUUCUUUCGAAGCAACACACUAGCAUCAUAUGGAGUUGGAGAAGGUGUGCAGUCGCUAUACCCAAAACGACUCAAGACCUUUUCCACAUAGUGAGACUGAAGCAGUGUGAUCCCACCAUUCUCAUCUCUCAACAGCUUGAUGUUUAAGAUAACAUCAGCUACUCCUAGAUCCUUCAUCUCAAAACAGCGAGAUAAGAAAUCCUUAACCUCCUUGAUUAAAUCAAGUUUGGUUCCAAAGAUCAAUAUGUCGUCGACAUAUAGACAAAGAAUAACUCCUUCACCCCCACCAUAGCAAUAGUACACGCACUUGUCACCAUCAUUUACUACAAAGCCGGCAGCAGUUAAUGUCCUUUCGAACUUCUCAUGCCACUCCUUAGGAGCUUGUUUAAGGCCAUAUAAAGACUUUAAUAACUUGCACACCUUUCCUUCCUGACCAGGUACUACAAAACCAUCUGGCUGAUCCAUGUAAAUUUCCUCCUUCAACUCUCCAUUGAGGAAAGCCGUCUUGACGUCCAUUUGAUGAACGAGAAGACCAUGUGAGGCAGCCAGUGAUAGUAGCACCUGAAUUGUGGUCAGUCUAGCCACAGGUGAGUAAGUAUCAAAGAAGUAUUCACCUUCUUUCUGGGUAUAACCCUUAGCCACAAGCCGUGCCUUGUUCUUUUCAAUCGUACCAUCAGGUCUAAGAUUCUUCUUGAACACCCACUUACAUCCUAAAGGUUUGCACCCAUAAGGACGACCAGUGAUCUCCCAGGUUCCGUCAGCUAAGAUGGAAUCCAUCUCGCUACGUACAGCUUCCUUCCAGUAGUCAGCAUCAGGAGAUGCUUAGGCUUCUCUAAUAGUCCUGGGUGUGUCAUCCACGAGGUACACAAUGAAAUCAUCACCAAAGGACUUUGUAGUCCUCUGUCUCUUACUCCUCACAGGAGUUCCAUUGUCACCCUCAACAGGAUUCUCAACGUGUUCCAUCGCAAUGGUGGGUUCAGGAAUUACAGUGAAUUCCUCACUAGAUGGAGUAGGUAUCUCCUGAUUUGAUGAACUCGACAUGUCCUUCAUAGGAAAUAUGUCCUCAAAGAAAGUUGCAUCAUUCGACUCCAUAAUCGUACCAACAUGCAUGUUGGAUACCUCAAAUUUUAUUAUCAAAAAUCUAUAGCCGAUGCUAUGAAAAGCAUAGCCCAGAAGAACACAAUCCACGGUUUUUGGUCCAAGCUUGCGCUUCUUGGGAAUUGGUAUAUUGACUUUCUCCAAACAACCCCAAGUACGUAGGUAAGAGAGUUUCAACCUUUUCCUUUCCCAUUCCUCAAAUGGAGUCAUGGUCUUAUGCUUUGUGGGAACUCGGUUUACGAUAUGACAUGCAGUCAUUAGCGCCUCCCCCCACCAUUCCUUGGAUAGACCCGAAGUGUCUAACAUGGUGUUAACCAUAUCAGUUAGAGUUCGGUUCUUUCUUUUGGCUACCCCAUUUGACUGGGGUGAGUAGGGAGGCGUCCUCUCAUGGAUUAUACCAUGUUCCGCACAAAACAGAUCAAAUUCAUUGGAAAAAUACUCUCCACCACGAUCAGACCUAAGCCGUUUAAUUUUUCGAUCAAGUUGGUUCUCUGCCUCAGCUUUAUAGUUUUUGAAGAAAGUAAAAGCCUCAUAUUUUGAUUUCAGAAGAUACACAUAACAAUAUCUAGUGGAGUCAUCAAUCAACAUCAUGAAGUAUCUUUUUCCACCUUUUGUCAACACGACAUUCAUCUCACAAAGAUCAGAAUGUAUAAGCUCUAGUGGUGCCAAGUCUCUUGCCUCUGUAGUCUUAUGGGACUUGCGAGGUUGCUUAGCUUGCACACAUACUUGGCACUUAGAGCCUUUGACAGUAGAGAUUUUCAGAAUUAAAUUCAUAUUGGCUAGCCAUGUCAUGCAACCAAAGUUAAUGUGACAAAGUCGUGAAUGCCAAAUAUCUGACUCAUUGUUGUGGCAAACAUUAUUAAUAACUUUAGUGCAAAUAUCUGACAAAGACAGGCGGAACAAGCCUCCGCUCUCAUAGCCUUUUCCAACAAAUUGUCCAUACUUAGAAAUUACAACAUUAUUGGAUUCGAAAACCAACUUAAAACCAUCUCAACAUCAAUGGGAACCGCUAACGAGAUUUUUAUUGAUGGACGGCACAUGAUGAACGUUCUUCAGACGCACGGUCUUCCCCGAAGUAAACUUCAGAUCGACCGUACCAACACCUCGAACGAUGGCAUGUGACCCGUUCCCCAUCAGCAUGGGAGAAGUCCCAGUGGCCUGGUAAGAAGAAAACUUGGAGGCGUCAGCACAAACAUGUACAUUGGCACCGGUGUCAAUUAACCAAUCAGGGGAUUGAAAUACUGAAAGGAUGGUAGGAAAAAUACCGUAUCCUGAUUCCUUCAUAUCAGUAUCACCGAUAACAACAUUAGCGGACUUGCCGCUCUUGUCAUGUUCGCGCUCCUCAAAACGGUUAGGACACUUCGGAGCCCAGUGAUUAGGAUCACCGCAAACAUGGCAAAGUCCCUUCCCCUUCUUAUGAGAAUUCUUCUUGAAGUUGGUAGAAUGUGAUGGCUUGUUCUUUGUAUCAAACUUACCUUUGCCCUGAGUUUUGUUCUUGUUGUUUUUGAACUUUUUGGGAUGGAAGUUCUUCUUCUGUACCAUUUGGGCACUAGAACCUCCCUCAGCAACUCGAGCACGUGUGUCCUUUGCUCUCGCCUUCUCUUCAACAUCAAGAGUACCAAUGAGAUCCGCAACGGAAAACUCCUGUCUCUUGUGUUUCAGGGAAGUAGAAAAAUUAUUCCACGAAGGUGGAAGCUUGGCAAUGAUGCCUCCGGCAACACACACUUGAAGUAAUCAAGUUCUUUUGCGAGUGACUGUAUCUCAUUAGCCUGCUGUACAACAAGGCGCUCAUCAGUCAUCUUGUAGUCAUAGAAUUGCUCCAUGACGUACAACUCGCCGCCGGCGUCCGAGGCACCAAACUUGGCCUCGAGCGCAGCCCACAUGUCCUUGCCAUUGUAAAAUGAGAUAUACGAAUCGAUCUUCUCAAAAGCUUCCAGCUGUGCUGGAUUAAGAUCGCCCUCAGGCUUGCCCUUGGUGGCGUCAUAGCAGCCCAUGGUCUGAAACAAGUAGACUGCUAUCGUGCGCCACCUCUUAUAUUGCGCCCCUUUAAUGGCAGGCAGCUUCAAAUGCGCAGCAAAAUACGAGAUUUAAUCCGAAUAAAUAGGAAAUAGAUCAUGACAUCAAUAGCAGAGAUUAAACUAACCCCGGGUAGGUCAUGGGACAACGUGCAUAGCUCUGUCCUCGGCUCAAUCCUGCAACCCGCGGCGCGGCACUCGUGUAGGUCUCCUCUUCUCAUGGUCAUACAAGUGGUAGAAUAGCUCACCUUAUAAAGAGGUGCAACUCUCUCUCAACUUCCGGGGUGGGACUAAACUUUAGUCUCACUCACUCCACUCACAUGUGUGCAUGAAUGGGCCAAGAGAAUUUCAGAAUUUUAGUUGGGCUUUGGGCCAAAGGCCUACUAGCAAAAUUCCAACAAUAUGUAGAUCCACAUUUUGGGUGUGCUAGUAUUAAUACGUGUGGCAUGAGUGUGUUCUUGUUUUAUGUAUUUCUAGAGUGAAUCUCACGUUAUUUCCCCAUAUCAUAAAAUGGAUUUGGGACAUUAAAGGAAGAUUAUGCGCAUUUUGCACUUGAUAAUCUAUCUAUCUUCUACGUUUAUAUAUCUAUCUAUAUCUAUCUCUAUAUUCAUCCCUAUAUCUAUACCUAUCUAUAUGUAUACUAUAUAUGUAUAUUUAUAUCUACACCUAUCUAUCUAUCUAUCUAUCUAUCUUUAUAUCUAUAUCUCUAUCUAUCUAUACCUAUACUUCUACUCCCUCCGUCCCAAAAUAAGUAUCUCAAGCUUAGUACAAGUUCGUACUAAAGUUAAUACAAAGUUGAGACACUUAUUUUGAGACGGAGAAAGUACUAAUUAGGCACUCCCUAGAAAUUACCAUGUUAAUCGGUAAAAUUCAAGAUAAUUGGAAACCCAUGCCCCUUCGUAAAUACAUGUAAUUGCUUACACCAUUUAGGAUAUGCUUGCAUGAUGGAUAUAUACGAUACACAUGCAUCAUUAUUAACCCGGAACACCUUUAAGAUUACAUUAAAAAUGGCAUCCAGGAGACACUAUAUUAAAUAAUACUGCCCAUGAUUAAAUAGGAGGAAAUCCAAUUCUCCAUCGAGGUAUAUGUGCAAAGAGUUAAACAUUGAUCAUUUGGAUAUUCAUGGGGCAUAUUGCAUUUGGAAACCCCUACUCAGUGCACUAUAUAGUAUAUAUAAGCCAUAAUCAUAGCUACGUACUCCACCUCAACCCAUCCAUCUCUGCACUGCAGUUCCAUUUGAUCCAUUCAUCGUCUCCCUCAGCUACAAUAUAAUUUUCUAGCAAGCCUGGCAGCAAUGGAAAUGGUGCAAACCACCUCCUUAGCAUUCACUGGAAUUGUCAUCAUUCUCCUUUCCAUGGCCAUCACCAUUCAAGCUUCCGACACCAAGCCCAUGCCGUCAGGCAUCACGUUGGAAGCAUGCAAGAAUGUCUCGAGUGACUUCUUCAAGGUGCGCUCCACAUAUGACUUUUGUGUAUCAACGCUCCAGUCAGACAAACGAAGCAUCAACGCGAAGGACUGCCGCAUCCUAGCUCUUGUGGACGUCGACGCCAUGAAGCCCCAAGCCACGGCCGUGAUGGCCAAGGUUGAGAACUUGAUCCAUGGUGCCACCAAGGACAAGCUCGCGACUCGCGCCCUUGGGUUCUGCCAAGUGGACUACGGUGGCAUGGUGAGCACCCUCGAAAUCUGCCAUGAUAUCAUCCAGAACUUUGAGGUUCGUAAAGGCAAUGAAGGUCCGACGCCCUACGACCUGCCUGAUUGCAUUGCGAAAACAACCAAAGCCAUCAACGAUUGCUCUGACAAAACAAAGUUUACGUCGGUUACAAAAGGGCUAACAAAGGAAUAUGAGGAGUUAUCUAUGAUGAUCAGCCUCAGCAGCUCUUUGCCACAUCUCUACAUCACAUCACCCUGAUUUUUCUGGAAAAAUAUGAUUUUAUAGCGUCGGUUUUAGGGUCUGCGAGGCCACCAGGUGGGGACAACCCACCUAGGCGCGCUUGGAGGGGGCACGCCAUGGUGGGUUGUGCCCACCCAGGUGCCCCCCUUCCGGUGGUUCAUGGCUCCAGAAAUUCUCUUUAUUGAUAUGAAAAAUCCUUGCAAAGUUUCGUUCCAUUCUUAAAACUUUUAUUUCUGCACAAAAACAACACCAUGGUAGUUCUGCUGAAAACAGCAUCAGUCCGGGGUUAGUUUCAUUCAAGUCAUGCAAAUUAGAGUCCAAAACAAGAGGAAAAGCAUUGGGAAAAGUAGAUGUGUUGGAGACCUAACGGUGGCGGCGGGAAACAAAUGAGGAAAGGGUGGCGUGUUCAUAAAACGCCACCAAUCAAUGGAAACUUAGCAUAGAAGGAACAUUGAGCUAGCACAACGUGUGUGUGCACAUUGCUCACCCAAGGCUAUGAUCCAUAUACUUGUGUGCCCAACAGAGCACACUAUUCAUAGUAAAGAAUAUUGUUAUGUUUAUCCUAGUAGAGCAGUGGCAGCAAGCGACACAAGAAGAAGUAGAUGAUGAUCAGAUGAUGGUUUAUCCUAAUUAAUUAUGCAUGUAAUAGUUUACUUUGGCGUGUGGAAAUGUCAUGUGUACUAGGAAACUAUGUAAUUGGAUGUUUAAUUUGACUGUGGAAUCAUGUCCUUAUAUCAUGAUAAAUCUUUAUUAUUCAUGCUAGAAUUGUAUUAACUGAAAACAUAAUACAUGUGUGAAUACAUAGACAAACAAAGUGUCACUAGUAUGCCUCUACUUGACUAGCUGGUUGAUCAAAGAUGGUUAUGUUUCCUAGCCAUAGACAUGAGUUGUCAUUUGAUUAACGGGAUCACAUCAUUAGGAGAAUGAUGUGAUUGACAUGACCCAUUCCGUUAGCUUAGCACCGGAUCAUUUAGUAUGUUGCUAUUGCUUUCUUCAUGACUUAUAAUGUUCCUAUGACUAUGAGAUUAUGCAACUCCUCUUUACCGGAGUAACACUUUGUGUGCUACCAAACGUCACAACGUAACUGGGUGAUUAUAAAGGAGCUCUACAGGUGUCUCCAAAGGUACAUGUUGGGUUGACGUAUUUCGAGAUUAGGAUUUGUCACUCCGAUUGUCGGAGAGGUAUCUCUGGGCCCUCUCGGUAAUGCACAUCACUUAAGCCUUGCAAGCAUUGCAACUAAUGAGUUAGUUGCGGGAUGAUGUAUUAUGGGACGAGUAAAGAGACUUGCCGGUAACGAGAUUGAACUAGGUAUUGAGAUACUGACGAUCGAAUCUCGGGCAAGUAACAUGCCGAUGACAAAGGGAACAACGUAUGUUGUUAUGCGGUCUGACCGAUAAAGAUCUUCGUAGAAUAUGUAGGAGCCAAUAUGAGCAUCCAGGUUCCUCUAUUGGUUAUUGACCGGAGACGUGUCUCGGUCAUGUCUACAUAGUUGUCGAACCCGUAGGGUCCGCACGCUUAACGUUUCGAUGAUAGUUAUAUUAUGAGUUUAUAUGUUUUGAUGUACCGAAGGUUGUUCGGAGUCCCGGAUGUGAUCACGGACAUGAAGAGGAGUCUCGAAAUGGUCGAGACAUGAAGAUUGAUAUAUUGGAAGCCUAUGUUUGGAUAUCAGAAGUGUUCCGAGUGAAAUCGGGAUUUUACCGGAGUACCGGGAGGUUAGCGGAACCCCCAGUAACUUAAUGGGCCUUAGUGGUCCUAGGUGGAAGAGAGGAGAGGAGGCAAGGGCUGGCCGCGCGCCCCUCCCCCCUAGUCCGAAUAGGACAAGGAGAGGGGGGUGGCGCCCCCCCCCCUUCUUUCUCCUCCACUCCUUCCCCCUCCCAAGUCCUAAUCCAACUAGGAAAGGGGGGAGUCCUACUCCCGGUGGGAGUAGGACUCCUCCGGCGCGCCUCCUCCUAUGGCCGGCUGCACCCCCCCCCCUUGCUCCUUUAUAUACGGGGGCAGGGGGGCAUCCCAUAGAUACAACAAUUGAUCAUUUGAUCUUUUAGCCGUGUGUGGUGCCCCCCUCCACCAUAGUCCACCUCGAUAAUACUGUAGCGGUGCUUAGGCGAAGCCCUGCAUUGGUAGAACAUCAUCAUCUUCACCACGCCGUCGUGCUGACGAAACUCUCCCUCAACACUCGGCUGGAUCGGCGUUCGAGGGACGUCAUCGGGCUAAACGUGUGCUGAACUCGGAGGUGCCGUGCGUUUGGUACUUGAUCAGACAGAUCGUGAAGACGUACGACUACAUCAACCGCGUUGUGCUAAGGCUUGCGCUUUCGGUCUACGAGGGUACGUGGCCAACACUCUCCCCUCUCGUUGCUAUGCAUCACCAUGAUCUUGCGUGUGCAUAGGAAUUUUUUUGAAAUUACUACGUUCCCCAACAAUGGCAUCCGAGCCUGAUUUUAUGCGUAGAUGUCAUAUGCACGUGUAGAACACAAGUGAGUUGUGGGCGAUAUAAGCCAUACUGCUUACCAGCAUGUCAUACUUUGGUUCGGCGGUAUUGUUGGAUGAAGCGGCCCGGACCGACAUUACGCGUACGCUUACGCGAGACUGGUUCUACCGACGUGCUUUGCACAGAGGUGGCUGGCGGGUGUCAGUCUCUCCAACUUUAGUUGAACCGAGUGUGGCUACGCCCGGUCCUUGCGAAGGUUAAAACAGCACCAACUUGACAAACUAUCAUUGUGGUUUUUGAUGCGUAGGUAAGAAUGGUUCUUGCUAAGACCGUAGCAGCCAUGUAAAACUUGCAACAACAAAGUAGAGGAUGUCUAACUUGUUUUUGCAGGGCAUGUUGUGAUGUGAUAUGGUCAAGACAUGAUGCUAAAUUUUGUUGUAUGAGAUGAUCAUGUUUUUAACCGAGUUAUCGGCAACUGGCAGGAGCCAUAUGGUUGUCGCUUUAUUGUAUGCAAUGCAAUCGACCUGUAAUGCUUUACUUUAUCACUAAGCGGUAGCGAUAGUCGAAGAAGCAUAAGAUUGGCGAGACGACAACGAUGCUACGAUGGAGAUCAAGGUGUCGCGCCGGUGACGACGGUGAUCACGGAGGUGCUUCGGAGAUGGAGAUCACAAGCACAAGAUGAUGAUGGCCAUAUCAUAUCACUUAUAUUGAUUGCAUGUGAUGUUUAUCUUUUAUGCAUCUUAUCUUGCUUUGAUUGACGAUAGCAUUAUAAGAUGAUCCCUCACUAAAUUAUCAAAGUAUAAGUGUUCUCCCUGAGUAUGCACUGUUGCGAAAAUUCUUCGUGCUGAGACACCACGUGAUGAUCAGGUGUGAUAGGCUCUACGUUCAAAUACAAUGGGUGCAAAACAGUUGCACACGCGGAAUACUUAGGUUAAACUUGACGAGCCUAGCAUAUAACAGAUAUGGCCUCAGAACACGGAGACCGAAAGGUCGAGCGUGAAUCAUAUAGUAGAUAUGAUCAGCAUAGUGAUGUUCACCAUUGAAACUACUCCAUCUCACGUGAUGAUCGGACAUGGUUUAGUUGAUUUGGAUCACGUGAUCACUUAGAGGAUUAGAGGGAUGUCUAUCUAAGUGGGAGUUCUUAAGUAAUAUGAUUAAUUGAACUUAAAUUUAUCGUGAACUUAGUACCUGAUAGUAUCUUGCUUGUUUAUGUUGAUUGUAGAUAGAUGGCCCGUGCUGUUGUUCCGUUGAAUUUUAAUGUGUUCCUUGAGAAAGCAAAGUUGAAAGAUGAUGGUAGCAAUUACACGGACUGGGUCCGUAACUUGAGGAUUAUCCUCACUGCUGCACAGAAGAAUUACGUCCUGGAAGUACCGCUGGGUGCCAGGCCUGCUGCAGGAGCAACACCAGAUGCUAUGAACAUCUGGCAGAGCAAAGCUGAUGACUACUCGAUAGUUCAGUGUGCCAUGCUUUACGGCUUAGAACCGGGACUUCAACGGCGUUUUGAACGUCAUGGAGCAUAUGAGAUGUUCCAGGAGUUGAAGUUAAUAUUUCAAGCAAAUGCCCGGAUUGAGAGAUAUGAAGUCUCCAAUAAGUUCUAUAGCUGCAAGAUGGAGGAGAACAGUUCUGUCAGUGAGCAUAUACUCAAAAUGUCUGGGUAUAAUAAUCACUUGAUUCAAUUGGGAGUUAAUCUUCCAGAUGAUUGCGUCAUUGACAGAAUUCUCCAAUCACUGCCACCAAGCUACAAGAGCUUCGUGAUGAACUAUAAUAUGCAAGGGAUGAAUAAGACUAUUCCCGAGCUCUUCGCAAUGCUGAAAGCUGCGGAAGUAGAAAUCAAGAAGGAGCAUCAAGUGUGUAUGGUCAACAAGACCACCAGUUUCAAGAAAAAGGGCAAAGGGAAGAAGAAGGGGAACUUCAAGAAGAACAGCAAACAAGUUGCUGCUCAAGAGAGGAAACCCAAGUCUGGACCUAAGCCUGAAACUGAGUGUUUCUACUGCAAGCAAACUGGUCACUGGAAGCGGAACUGCCCCAAGUAUUUGGCGGAUAAGAAGGAUGGCAAGGUGAACAAAGGUAUAUGUGAUAUACAUGUUAUUGAUGUGUACCUUACUAAUGCUCGCAGUAGCACCUAGGUAUUUGAUACUGGUUCUAUUGCUAAUAUUUGCAACUCAAAACAGGGGUUACAGAUUAAGCAAAGAUUGGCUAAGGACAAGGUAACGAUGAGCGUGGGAAAUGGUUCCAAAGUUGAUGUGAUCGCAGUCGGAAUGCUACCUCUACAUCUACCUUCGGGAUUAGUAUUAGACCUAAAUAAUUGUUAUUUGGUGCCAGCGUUGAGCAUGAAUAUUAUAUCUGGAUCUUAUUUGAUGCAAGACGGUUAUUCAUUUAAAUCAGAGAAUAAUGGUUGUUCUAUUUAUAUGAGUAAUAUCUUUUAUGGUCAUGCACCCUUGAAGAGUGGUCUAUUCUUAUUGAAUCUUGAUAGUAGUGACACACAUAUUCAUAAUGUUGAAGCCAAAAGAUGCAGAGUUGAUAAUGAUAGUGCAACUUAUUUGUGGCACUACCGUUUAGGUCAUAUCGGUGUAAAGCGCAUGAAAAAACUCCAUACCGAUGGACUUUUGGAACCACUUGAUUAUGAAUCACUCUCUACUUGCGAACUGUGCCUCAUGGGCAAAAUGACUAAAACACCGUUCUCCGAUACUAUGGAGAGAGCAACAGAUUUGUUGGAAAUCAUACAUACAGAUGUAUGUGGUCCGAUGAAUGUUGAGGCUCGUGGCGGAUAUCGUUAUUUUCUCACCUUCACAGAUGACUUAAGAAGAUAUGGGUAUAUCUACUUAAUGAAACAUAAGUUUGAAACAUUUGAAAAGUUCAAAGAAUUUCAGAGUGAAGUUGAAAAUCAUCGUAACAAGAAAAUAAAGUUUCUACGAUCUGAUCAUGGAGGAGAAUAUUUGAGUUACGAGUUUGGUGUACAUUUAAAAAAUGCGGAAUAGUUUCGAAACUCACGCCACCCGGAACACCACAACAUAAUGGUGUGUCCAAACGUCGUAAUCGUACUUUACUAGAUAUGGUGCGAUCUAUGAUGUCUCUUACUGAUUUACCGCUAUCGUUUUGGGGUUAUGCUUUAGAGACGGCCGCAUUCACGUUAAAUAGGGCACCAUCAAAAUCCGUUGAGACGACGCCUUAUGAACUGUGGUUUGGCAAAAAACCGAAGUUGUUGUUUUUGAAAGUUUGGGGCUGCGAUGCUUAUGUGAAAAAGCUUUAACCUGAUAAGCUCGAACCCAAAUCGGAGAAAUGUGUCUUCAUAGGAUACCCAAAGGAGACCGUUGGGUACACCUUCUAUCACAGAUCCGAAGGCAAGAUUUUUGUUGCUAAAUUAGGAAACUUUCUAGAGAAGGAGUUUCUCUCGAAAGAAGUGAGUGGGAGGAAAGCAGAACUUGAUGAGGUAACUGUACUUGCUCCCUUAUUGGAAAGUAGUUCAUCACGGAAACCGGCUUCCGUGACACCUACACCAAUCAGUGAGGAAGUUAAUGAUGAUGAUCAUGAAACUUCAGACCAAGUUACUACUGAGCCUCAUAGAUCAACCAGAGUAAGAUCCGCAGCAGAGUGGUACGGUAGUCCUGUUCUGGAAGUCAUGCUACUAGAUCAUGAUGACCCUACGAACUAUGAAGAAGCGAUGGUGAGCCCAGAUUCCGCAAAAUGGCUUGAGGCCAUGAAAUCUGAGAUGGGAUCCAUGUAUGAGAACAAAGUAUGGACUUUGGUUGACUUGCCUGAUGAUCGGCAAGCAAUUGAAAAUAAAUGGAUCUUCAAGAAGAAGACUGACACUGACGGUAAUGUUACUGUCUACAAAGCUCGACUUGUUGUGAAAGGUUUUCGACAAGUUCAAGGGAUUGACUAUGAUGAGACCUUCUCACUCGUAGCGAUGCUUAAGUCUGUCCGAAUCAUGUUAGCAAUUACCAUAUUUUAUGAUUAUGAAAUUUGGCAAAUGGAUGUCAAAACUGCAUUUCUGAAUGGAUUUCUAGAAGAAGAGUUGUAUAUGAUGCAACCAGAAGGUUUUGUGGAUCCAAAGGGAGCUAACAAAAUGUGCAAGCUCCAGCGGUCCAUUUAUGGACUGGUGCAAGCCUCUCAGAGUUGGAAUAAACGCUUUGAUAGUAUGAUCAAAGCAUUUGGUUUUGUACAGACUUUUGGAGAAGCCUGUAUUUAUAAGAAAGUGAGUGGGAGCUCUGUAGCAUUUCUAAUAUUAUAUGUACAUAUUGCUGGUUGGAAAUGAUAUAGAAUUUCUAGAUAGCAUAGGGAUACUUGAAUAAGAGUUUUUCAAUGAAAGACGACCUCGGUGAAGCUGCUUAUAUAUUGGGCAUUAAGAUAUAUAGAGAUAGAUCAAGACGCUUAAUUGGACUUUCACAAAGCACAUACCUUGAAAAAGUUUUGAAGAAGUUCAAAAUGGAUCAAGCAAAGAAAGGGUUCUUGCCUGUGUUACAAGGUGUGGAGUUCAGUAAGACUCAAUGCCCGACCACUGCAGAAGAUAGAGAGAAAAUGAAAGAUGUUCCCUAUGCUUCAGCCAUAGGCUCUAUCAUGUAUGCAAUGUUGUGUACCAGACCUGAUGUGUGCCUUGCUAUAAGCCUAGCAGGGAGGUACCAAAGUAAUCCAGGAGUGGAUCACUGGACAGCGGUCAAGAACAUCCUGAAAUACCUGAAAAGGACUAAGGAUAUGUUUCUCAUUUAUGGAGGUGACAAAGAGCUCAUCGUAAAUGGUUACGUUGAUGCAAGCUUUGACACUGAUCCGGACGAUUCUAAAUCACAAACCGGAUACGUGUUUACAUUGAACGGUGGUGCUGUCAGUUGGUGCAGUUCUAAACAAAGCGUCGUGGCGGGAUCUACGUGUGAAGCGGAGUACGUAGCUGCUUCAGAAGCAGCAAAUAAAGGAAUCCAGAUUUCAGAAGAGAUAUAGAUUUGCAAGAUACAUACGGAUCUGAAUGUUGCAGACCCGUUGACUAAGCCUCUUCCACGAGCAAAACAUGAUCAGCACCAAGGCUCCAUGGGUGUUAGAAUCAUUACUGUGUAAUCUAGAUUAUAGACUCUAGUUUAAGUGGGAGACUGAAGGAAAUAUGCCCUAGAGGCAAUAAUAAAGUUAUUAUUUAUUUCCUUAUAUCAUGAUAAAUGUUUAUUAUUCAUGCUAGAAUUGUAUUAACCGAAAACAUAAUACAUGUGUGAAUACAUAGACAAACAAAGUGUCACUAGUAUGCCUCUACUUGACUAGCUUGUUGAUCAAAGAUGGUUAUGUUUCCUAGCCAUAGACAUGAGUUGUCAUUUGAUUAACGGGAUCACAUCAUUAGGAGAAUGAUGUGAUUGACAUGACCCAUUCCGUUAGCUUAGCACCCGAUCGUCUAGUAUGUUGCUAUUGCUUUCUUCAUGACUUAUACAUGUUCCUAUGACUAUGAUAUUAUGCAACUCCCGUUUACCGGAGGAGCACUUUGUGUGCUACAAAACGUCACAACGUAACUGGGUGAUUAUAAAGGAGCUCUACAGGUGUCUCCAAAGGUACAUGUUGGGUUGGCGUAUUUCGAGAUUAGGAUUUGUCACUCCGAUUGUCGGAGAGGUAUCUCUGGGCCCUCUCGGUAAUGCACAUUACUUAAGCAUUGCAACUAAUGAGUUAGUUGCGGGAUGAUGUAUUAUGGGAUGAGUAAAGAUACUUGCCGGUAACGAGAUUGAACUAGGUAUUGAGAUACUGACGAUCGAAUCUCGGGCAAGUAACAUACCGAUGACAAAGGGAACAACGUAUGUUGUUAUGUGGUCUGACCGAUAAAGAUCUUCGUAGAAUAUGUAGGAGCCAAUAUGAGCAUCCAGGUUCCUCUAUUGGUUAUUGACCAGAGACGUGUCUCGGUCAUGUCUACAUAGUUCUCGAACCCGUAGGGUCCGCACGCUUAACGUUUCGAUGACAUUUAUAUUAUGAGUUUAUAUGUUUUGAUGUACCGAAGGUUGUUCGCUGUCCUGGAUGUGAUCACGGACAUGACGAGGAGUCUCGAAAUGGUCGAGACAUGAAUAUUGAUAUAUUGGAAGCCUAUGUUUGGAUAUCGGAAGUGUUUCGGGUGAAAUCUGGAUUUUACCGGAGUACCGGGAUGUUACCGGAACCCCCCGGUAACUAAAUGGGCCUUAGUGGGCCUAGGUGGAAGAGAGGAGAGGAGGCAAGGGCUGGCUGCGCGCCCCUCCCCCCCCCCCUAGUCCGAAUAGGACAAGGAGAGGGGGGCGGCGCCCCCCCCCCUUCCUUCCUUCUCCUCCACUCCUUCCCCCUCCCAAGUCCUAAUCCAACUAGGAAAGGGGGGAGUCCUACUCCCGGUGGGAGUAGGACUCCUCCGGCGCGCCUCCUCCUAUGGCCGGCCGCACCCCCCUUGCUCCUUUAUAUACGGGGGCAGGGGGCACCCCAUAGAUACAACAAUUGAUCGUUUGAUCUUUUAGCCGUGUGCGGUGCCCCCCUCCACCAUAGUCCACCUCGAUAAUACUAUAGCGGUGCUGAGGCGAAGCCCUACGUCGGUUGAACAUCAUCAUCGUCACCAUGCCGUCGUGCUGACGAAACUCUCCCUCAACACUCAGCUGGACCGGAGUUCAAGGGACGUCAUCGGGCUGAACGUGUGCUGAACUCGGAGGUGCCGUGCGUUCGGUACUUGAUCGGUCGGACCGUGAAGACGUAUGACUACAUCAACCGCGUUGUGCUAACACUUCCGCUUUCGGUCUACGAGGGUACGUGGACAACACACUCCCCUCUCGUUGCUAUGCAUCACCAUGAUCUUGCGUGUGCGUAGGAAAUUUUUUCAAAUUACUACGUUCCCCAACAGUCCUCAUAAAUGGCAUUGUACCUGCCCUACAACCUAGCUAUGAGCACUUGCCAUCGAAAGCAAAAAUAUGCUUCUCCUUCUGUGUUGUUUAUCCCAAGGAUAGGAUGAUGGAUAAAGACAUAUUAAUCCGGCUAUGGAUGGAAAGUGUCUUCGUUGCAUCAGAAACAGCAGGCCAACAAAUUUGCGAUGUUCUAUUUUGGAGAUGUUUCUUACAAGAUGUGGAUAUUGGUAGGAUGUCUUCAUACAUAAUAUACAUGAUUUCAUGCAUGAUCUUGUUGACUCUGUAAGAAGAAAUAAUUGCUUACUUAUGCAAGAAUCUUCAUCGUCCCAAGAAAUUGUGGAACGAUCUACUGAUGGGAGUUCAUUUCAAUAUGAGGUUCAACAUUCGUCACUUGAUUUUUUAGUAAUAUUGCCACUUCGUAGGAAAUUAUUGCUCCCUGUCCGCUCACGAUAUUAGUCUCAUGAGAGAAGGACUGUAUUAAGACUCCGCUGCAUAUGGUCACAUAUAAAUUCAUGUUCCUGCAAGCAUUGAAGUCAUCCUCAAUCAAAACGCACAUGGGAAACUUAAAGCAUCUUCACUACCUAGAUUGUUCUAAUUCUUGUAUGUUUGAAUUGCCUGAAUCCACUACGUACCAUCUUGCAUAUAUAGCUUCCAAAAACUAAGGCUCAACCAUCAUUUAUUCCUUUACUAGAAGAGAUGAAAUUUAUGAGAAGUCUUCGGCACAUCUUCCUUACUAACUAUGGUUGUUUGGACCACAUGCCACAAGGUAUUGGUUAAUUGAAUUCUCCGACCACAUUGAUGAAUUAUGUCAUUGAUAGUGAUUCGGGUUAUGGGAAUUGAUCAACAUGAAAAUUUGAGUCUAGGUGGUGCUCUUUCUUUUACUCAAUUGAUAAAGGUGAGUAGUGCAAAAAAGUGUUAAACAAGGCAAUAUGUCCACCAAAGCAUAAGUUGAAAUGAUUAUCACUCGAUUUGUACUGGGAUUAUAGAAGAAACUAUGGAGAUAAAGUACAUAAUAAUGCGAAAGGAAUAUUACAAGCCCUUCACCCUAAAAAAGGAUUAAAUUUUUAUUGUUAAUUAUGUUGUUAUACUGGAGCUAAAUUAUCAUCGUGGAUGCAAAACUCUACACUGUUCAAACACCUCCCUGAUUGCUAUUCAAGUAGAUGCAAGAACGGCAAGGAUCCCCACCAUUAUGGCAGCUUCCUUGCAUCAAGUAGUGGCGUUUGGAAUGCUUGAUGUGUAUAUGUGUUUGUAAUAAUGAUAAAAAAUGUGAGGAAUCCUGUAUUUCUCCACAAUCAUUCUUCCCAAAACUAGAAAACCUAAUAGAUAGCAACAUUCCAAAGCUACAGAGAUGGCACCAUGAGGUUGUGAUACGUCUCCAACGUAUCUAUAAUUUUUGAUUGUUCCAUGCUAUUAUAUUAUCUGUUUUGGAUGUUUAAUGGGCUUUAAUAUGCUCUUUUAUAUUAUUUUUGGGACUAACCUAUUAACCGAAGGCCCAGUGCAAAUUGCUGUUUUUUUUUGCCUAUUUCAGUGUUUCGCAGAAAAGGUUAUCAAAUGGAACGAAACCUUCGCGAGGAUCUUUCUUGGAACAAACGCAACCCAAGAGACUUGGAGUGGAAGUCAAGGAAGAAACGAGGCAGCCACGAGGCAGGAGGGCGCCCCCCCACCCUCGUGGGCCCCUCAUAGCUCCACCGACCUACUUCUUUCGCCUAUAUAUACUCUUAUACCCUGAAAACAUCGAGGGGAUCCACGAAACCACUUUUCCACUGCCGCAACCUUCUGUACCCGUGAGAUCCCAUCUUGGGGCCUUUUCCGGUGAUCGUCCAGAGGGGAUUCGAUCACGGAGGGCUUCUACAUCAACACCAUAGCCUCUCCGAUGAUGUGUGAGUAGUUUACCAUAGACCUUCGGGUCCAUAGUUAUUAGCUAGAUGGCUUCUUCUCUCUCUUUGGUUCUCAAUACAAAGUUCUCCUCGAUUUUCUUGGAGAUCUAUUCGAUGAAAAACCUUUUGCGGUGUUUUUGCCGAGAUCCAAUGAAUUGUGGGUCUAUGAUCAAGAUUAUCUAUGAAAAAUAUUUGGUUCUUCUCUGAAUUCUUAUAUGCAUGAUUUAAUAUCUUUGCAAGUCUCUUCGAAUUAUCGGUUUAGUUUGGCCUACUAGAUUGAUCUUUCUUGCAAUGGGAAAAGUGCUUAGCUUUGGGUUCAAUCUUGCGGUGCUCGAUCCCAGUGACAGAAAGGGAAACGACAUGUGUUGUAUUGUUGCCAUCGAGGAUAAAAAUAUGGGGUUUAUAUCAUAUUGCUUGAGUUUAUCCCUCUACAUCAUGUCAUCUUGCCUAAUGCGUUACUCUAUUCUUAUGAACUUAAUACUCUAGAUGCAUGCUCGAUAGCGGUCGAUGUGUGGAGUAAUAGUAGUAGAUGCAGAAUCGUUUCGGUCUACUUGUCACGGACGUGAUGCCUAUGUUCAUGAUCAUUCCUAGAUAUUCUCAUAACUAUGUGCUUUUCUAUCAAUUGCUCAACAGUAAUUUGUUCACCCACCGUAAUAUAUGCUAUCUUGAGAGAAGCCACUAGUGAAACCUAUGGCCCCCGGGUCUACUUUACAUCAUAUAAGUUUCCGAUCUACAAUUCUAGUUUACUAUUUAUUUUCAAUCUUUACUUUUCCAAUCUAUACAACAAAAAUACCAAAAAUAUUUAUCUUAUUAUCUUUAUCAGGUCUCACUUUUGCAAGUGGCCGUGAAGGGAUUGACAACCCUUUUAUCGCAUUGGUUGCAAGGUUCUUGAUUGUUUGUGCAUGUACUAGGAGAUUUGUGUGUAGUCUCCUACUGGAUUGAUACCUUGGUUCUCAAAAACUAAGAGAAAUAAUUACACUACUUUGUUGCAUCACCCUUUCUUGUUCAAGGGAAAACCAAUGUAUGCUCAAGAGGUUGCAGGAGAAGUAACAGAUGUAGCAUUCCUUUAGCUCAAGAUGUUAAAUAUUCGUAAUUACUCAGUGCGAGAAAGUACACCUCAGAUGCUCCCUUUGGUUGAAGAUCUAUAGGUGUUUGGAAAAAACAUUUUUCCAAUUUACCAUUAGAUGAAUUUGUGAGUGCAAUCUAAUCUUGAGUGCGAAGGUAUAUUUUGUGGAACCUACAGUCGAUUGUCUGCUUACUGAUGACCUUCAUAUCCCAAGUCAUGGAGACUAACAUGUCACUAAUGCUCAUAGGUCUGACAAAAAAAUGUGGAAUUCUUUGAAGAAGAGCUUAACAGAAUAUGCAAAGGUGGAGAUAAUAGAUCGUGACUGUGUAGUUGCUUGUUUGAUGCUAUGUGAUUCAUUUGGUUAGGUUGCUUGUUUUGAGGGCUCAUAUUAUCAAACUUGUUGAACAACCACUGCAGAUGCUUUGAUUUCUUUUAUUUGGAAAUUGUUAAUUAUUGAAUGUUGAGCAUCAAAGAAAAUUGACCGAGUACAAAAAAAUAGGGGGGGGGGAGGAGGUGGCGAACGUGUCCGUGCUCUAGCACCCUCCCGGUUGUCCACGAACAUGUUCAGACAUGCGUCCAUGGAUGUUUGACGGUGUUCAUUUGAUGAAUAGAAAAGUGUAGGAUAUGCCCUUUGUCUUCAAGGCAACUUUUAAUGCUUAAAAAUUGACUUUGAUUUUUAGAAGGGACAUAGGUUUAUUGUAAAGGUCUAUCCUCUUUAUAAUAGUUGAUUUAGGAAUAAUUAUUUCCAACCUAGUACAUAUUGAUAAUUUGUUUGAAGGUUACACGAGUAAAUUGAAAUUGAGAAACUAUUUGAAAGUUUUGUGCAUAUAUUUUUGAAACUCAGAAGUUGCAACAAUGUGUUGCGGAAUCAAUGACUUGAUGAGGGGCAAAUUGAUCAAUCCUGAAAGCCAUGUAGAAAUAUCAAAUCGGUUAUACCAAAGUAUGUAUAGAACACAUCAAUCUAGAUUUGACAUAUCAAUGCGAGGGGAUACAAACUUAGUAUCAACAUAUCUUUUUGCAUUCACUGGACACUAUUCUUUUGGAUAUCCAUGAUCAAGAUAUGUUGCAUUAAAGAAAUGGUGGAAGUCAGAUGUGUAGUAUCAACAUCAUUAAUAAAGGAUAUCCAAAUUGAGUAUAUACAUAUUUGUAUAUAGAUUUGACACUAAUCAUAUGCAUAUCCAUGACGCAACUUGCAAACUUCAUUUAUGAAACCCAACUAUACGCAUUAUAAAUAAACAUCAACCUCCCAUACAUCAUAUCCCUCCAACUCCUCACCCCCCCCCCCACGCAAAUAUCCAUGCACAUAUUAGAUAUCAUUAAAAAGGAGAUCAAAACUGAGCACUCAAAUAUUUAUGCACAGAUUAACCAAUAAUAAUAGGCAUAUCCAUGACCAAGCUCCAUACUGCAUUUAUGAACCCCACUAUACACAUUAUAAAUAAAUCUCAACCUCUCAUACAUCAUAUCCAACCAUUUUCCCCCUACACAACCAUCUAUAUCCAUUUAUCCCCACCUCUCUAGGUUGUAGUACAAUUCAACGCUUCUAACAAGCCUUGCAACAAUAUAUAUAUGGCACGAACACAGAUGGACACCAUCAUCUUUUCCGCCAUUGUCUUCAUGUUGCUUUUCGUGACCACGACGGCUCAAGCCAGUGGAUCUGGUGGUGCCAAGCCCAAGGCGACCGACCUCGUGAUAGAAGUGUGCAAGAACGCCACAUUAAACAACGCAAAUGUGGAUCCUCUCAGAGAGGAAUUCUGUUUAACGACCCUCUAGUCAGACAAUCGAAGCGCUGAGGCUAAGGAACUCCGUGACUUGCUGCAAGUCACCGUCGACAUCCUUAGGGGUCGAGUCACUACUACCAGCAGCAAGGUCAAGAAAAUGUUGGAAAACACCAAGAAGGGCACGGUGCCAAUGCGCGUCUUCAGUUUGUGUGAGGUGGAUUAUGACACCAUGGUGAGCGUCAUCAACAUAUGUGAUGCCAUUAUCAAGGAUUACCAACGUGACGAGGGCAGGCAAUGGUCCAAAGAGCUAGUCCGUUGGAUGGAUAUGGCACGUGAUCAUGUCAAUGAGUGCAUCUCUGAGCUUGUUGACAUGCCUGCAGUGGGGGCUCUUGUCAAUGAAAACAAUGAAUUGGGAAUGCUGGUUAAACUGAACACCGCCUUGGUAGCAGCCCGUAUGUUUCCCGAGUAAUAGGAUGUUUGUGUUUAUAUGGCAGAAAAUAUGUCGAUGAGAAAUAAAUUGUACUAUUAAUAGUUAUUACUAUAAAUAUAAUGAUAAAUGUGUUGUGGCAUCAAUAUGCAUGGUUUUCCACAAAUUUUUCAUUUUGCUAUGAUAAUUCUAGAUUUUUUGGGGCCCAUUCGUCUUUCUUUCUUCAAAGUCUUACAAUAAUGACAUCUAUCACUCGUUGUGGAACCUCUCUUUUAAAUUGGCUCUUGAAAUCCGAUUGUCAGUAUUUUUUUAAUAUACCAUUGUUAGUAUGUUAUUCUGAUGUGUUGAACUUAUCUAUCUCCCAAGUUAUCUCUAUGCGUGAAUAUUUUCAAGUAUGAAGAGCCAAGGUCAAUGUAACAGCGCAAACAAUUGCAACCACCCGUUUAGCCAACAGGCUACUACCAUCUACGUGUCAAUCCUUAUCUUUACAUAAUAUAAUAAUAAAGAACGGAGGCUUUCAUAUUGUCCAUCACUCAUCUGUUUAUAUCGAUCGAUUUUAUGUUAACCAUAAAAAUUAACGGCUGGGAUUUAAAAAUAAAUCAACACACAUGUAAUAAGAAAAGCAAACAAACAAACGCUAUGGAACAAAGUAAAAAAAGUCAUGAACGUUGCACGUCUCUCUUGACGAUGAGAAAAAGGAAAACAAUCAUAUAUAUCAGAUCAAUUUCCUGACAAUCCCUCUUUGGCACUGCAAGCGCCGGUUAUAACUGUUUUGUGCAAACCGGCGCCUGCAGCCCACAUCCCUCUAAUGCGACUGGGCCGGUCCAUGUAUCUGCUUUUAUAUUUUUUUCUAAAGGUUCAGAAAAUGUGUGUCCGCACGAAAUUGAACUCAAGAUCUGCUCUAGUAAAUUAGCACCGCAACCAUCAGGCCACAAAAUAUCGCGGUAACUCCUCCGUUUGGGAAUCUUCCAGAACCUUCCCUAAACCGUUUUUUGGUUCGUUGGUCAUUUCCAGGUGCGAUUUUACUCGGUUUUCUUUUGUUCUUUUCCUUUUAUUUCUUAAAUGCGUUUUUUUAUCGUGUUAUUUUUCAAAAUCAAUCAUGUUUUUCUCUUUCACGUAUUUAACAAAAUCAAUGAACUUUUUUCCAAAUUCGAUGAACCUUUUUAAAAAUUGAUGAACUUUUUUGAAAUACGAGUAACUUUGUUCAAAUCUGAUGAACUUUUUUUUCAAAAUUGAUUCUACAACUAUCGCUAAUGCAUAGUGAUAAAGUAAGUCAAUUACAUGGCAUUUGCAUCUCAUACAAUAAAGCGACAACCAUAAGGCAACUGCCAGUUGCCGAUAACUUUUACAAAACAUGAUCAUCUCAUACAAUAACGUAUAUCACAUCAUGUCUUGACCAUAUCACAUCACAACAUGCCCUGCAAAAACAAGUUAGACAUCCUCUACUUUGAUGUUGCAAGUUUUACGUGGCUGCUACGGGCUUCUAGCAAGAAACAUUCUUAACUACGCAUCAAAACCACAACGGUGAUUUAUCAAGUUUGUUGUUUUAGCCUUCAACAAGGACCGGACGCAGUCAAAUUCGAUUCAACAAAAGUGGGAGAAACAGACACCCACCAGCCACCUUUAUGCAAAACUAGUUGCAUGUCUGUCGGUGGAACAGGUCUCAUGAACGUGGUCAUGUAAGGUUGGUACGGGCCGCUUCAUCCAACAAUACCGCCGAAUCAAAAUAAGACAUUGGUGGUAAGCAUAGACCUGGCUUGGAUGCCACUGUUGGUGCAAUUUCAAAAAAAAUCCUACGCUCACGUAAGAUCUAUCUAGGAGAUGUAUAGCAACAAGAGGGGGAGAGUGUGUCCACGUACCCUCGUAGACCAAAAGCAGAAUCAUUUUGACAAUGUGGUUGAUGUAGUCGAACUUCUUCUCGUUCCGACCGAUUAAACACCGAACGUACGGCACCUCCGAGUUCUGCACACGUUUAGCUCAAUGACGUCCCUCGAGCUCUUGAUCCAACAGAUUGUCGAGGGAGAGUUUCGUCAGCACAAUGGCGUGGUGAUGGUGAUGGUGAAGUGAUCCGCACAGGGCUUCGCCUAAGCACUAUGACAACUAGUCGUCUACCCGUGCGUUCGCACGGGCUAUAGAAAUUAUAUAUUUACAAAAUCUUCACAAUACAUAUUCUAAGGACAAUGGUGAUUGAUAUUAGAUGACAUUUCAUUUUCCUAUCCUCACUGUAAUGGAUGAGCCCAAAAUUAGAAAGAUAACAAUACAUGCCAUAGCAUUAAUAAUUAACAUAGAGAACCUUUUGUUGUAUAAAUCAUUCUUAGAUUCUCGUUGACAACCUUGAAUCAUAAGAACUGGCCAAAUUAUGUCUCUGUAUAACUUGUGUUGGUAUAUUUUAGUUAGAAAUCAAUAAUACUUUUGCUAAUAUUUGACCUGAAAAUGAGAAUGUUUUUUAUAAUUUAUACCACGAUGUAUGUCAGGAAGAACCUAUAAAUAUAAUAAAGUGGUGUUGUCUAUGUAAAAAAAGUCUCGCAUAAAUUUGAAUAUAAAGACAUUAUUUUGUUUGUUCUUGGAAUUAUUAUAUCCUCGAGUAAUAUUGUAUGAAUAAAUAUAUGACAACCCAAUUGUAUAGUUGGAUUAUUUUUAAUAUGCAGAACUCCAAAGCACGGAAGGUUCAUAUUAGAAUUUUUAAUGCAUGUAAUGUAUCAAAUUCUGAAGUAGAUUUGAAAGUCUGAUAUCAUAAUACAUUUCACAAUGACUCCAAAAAAGAUUUUGGUUGAUGGCUUGCGUGAAAUUUGUUUCAUUAGAUUUUUCACAUGAAAUAUGUUCAGAGUAUUACUCUUUGAACUUGUUGUGUUUGCAUGUUCGAGCAAAAAAUAAUUAUCAAGUUUAAUAGUAAGAAACUUAAAAUGAUUAGAAACUUUAAAUAGUAUUGGGACUCAUAGAGUGCAAUUUUUAAAUGUUACCAGUUCCUCUCAUCAUGGGCGUAGUCAAUUGGAACACUUGGUUUGUUUUUCCUGUUUGCAGUUGAGAAGGUGAAUCUUACUGACUACAUAUAAUGUAUUGAUUUCUACUCCAGCACGUACGCCAUGACAAACUUGUACCUGCUGCGAGGCCCUCUCGAGCAAUCGAUACAUACAUAUGUUAGUGCGUAUACUUUCUUUUAAUGUAUAUACUUGUCUUUGCUAUAGCCUUCUUCCUACAUCUGCGAGUAAGCAGCAACCUGUUUUUUUAAUAAUUGUCACCUUGAACAUGGCACACAUGAACCCUAUAUUCCUCCAUUGCCGAACCAUCUAAAACAACUAACUUUUCCUUACUCACUGACACACGGUUUUAAGCAUCAUCCCAUACUGUUCAUUUUUCAUAUUCUAAUAUGUUUUCCAAACUGAGAAAAUGAUACAACCAAUCAUAUCUAGCGAAAUUGUUCUGCAACUUUCUUGCUGUAAGCAUGAUAUAAUUCUUCCUUGAAAUUGAUGGGAAAUAGGCUAAAGGGUAAUCUGUUUCUAUUAAAAACUACAACGCAGAAUCAGGUUUUUCGUCUUAGUUUGCAAACCCUAAACAAGAAUCGAACGAAAUUGGUACCACUGGAAAGCUUGCAACGUAUCCCAUAACUUUUACCACUGUCUUAAUUUCAGAUUAUGCAAUGUUUUAUCACAGUUUUAAACUUAACUCUACCGGCUCAGACAACCCAUGCCUAGAUAAAUACUUAGCGUCAGUCUCUCCAAUCCAUCUUUCUACUUUGCCAAUAAUGACUAAUUAGGGUUUACCUUUUCUGUGUGGAAUCAUUCUUCCAGUUCCAUGGCAAGAUCACAAAUUUUGGACGACCCAACGGAUUCUCCUUCCUCCAGAGUCUUCUUCUCCGCUCAGAUUGGCUACUGCGCCUUACUCUUCUGAUUACAUGUAUUCCCUUCUCUCUUCUGACUAAAUUCUCCCUGGUGCAAUAUGUGCAGUCUACUGCCUUGAGCUGCUCCUUGUCAUAGCUUGCUCUGCACUCCAGAUCUCUUGCUCUGAUUGGUGGCUGGAUCAAAUGCAACCCACCCAACAGUAGUUAGCUCAACAUAAGCGGCUUCAAAAAAACGCAAGGAGCAGCACAUAAACGUAAAGGUCGACGACUGAAAAUGGCAACACCAUCCUAGAGCAGUGGAGCUCACGGCUAUACGUAGAACUUGGUGGUGGUAGUCAUGAACAGCGACCAGCACCAGCCUCCGGUAGAAGGGGGCAGUUCAUCCAUGUGCUUGAGUGUUGACGGCUGGCCAUAUUGUGAACGACAGAGUCGUCAAUUCUGACUAAGUGUAGUCUCAUGCUGAUUCUCUACUGCCGCAUAGGCAUGUCCGGCGGUGGCCAGCGUGACUGCAUGCUGGGUCAUCGAUCAAUGAUCCGGGCAAUUCAAUUGUAAACCCCAAAAAAGCAAAUUCAAAGCAAAUCAGUGUGAGAUGAGGAACCUGAUUUAGAUAAGGAACAAAAUUCUAAUGUGAUAACUUCAGCGAGAGCUUGGGAUCCAUGCCCUAACAUCCUUGCUCCAAUUUGAGAGAGAGAACGAUCUGUUUACCAUGUGUGAAGUAAAGAGAGACAUGAGAGAAGAGAUAUAUGAGAGUUUGAGAGAGGGAGAAACGGGAUAGAUUGAGAGAGAUAGACGAAGAUAAAUAUGACAGUUUGAGAGAGAGAAAGAGACGUGAGGGACUAAGAGAGAGAGAGUUUGAGAGAGGGACGUCAGAGAUUGUGAGAGACCACGAUUUCUUAGGUUGUUGUUUUUCUUUUACUCUGAGAGGAAUAGAAAGAGGUAGAUAUUUUAUGGUUUACUAUUCAAAAGUUUUUUUGGCAGAACUAAGCUGCCUGAAUGGUCAAAAAAAAUAUUGUUCUCUGAAGAUUAAUCUACACCGUAAUAACUCGGUCCCACCAGAUGAACGGCUGGUAAAUUCUAAUUAACGUGGUAAUUUUUAGGGAGUCUGUAAUUAAUAUAAGUAUAGAUAUAGAUAUAGAUAGAUAGAUAGAUAUAGAUAGAUAGAUAUAGAUAGAUAGAUAUAGAUAUAGAUAGAUAGAUAGAUAGAUAGAUAGAUAGAUAUAGAUAGAUAGAUAUGACUGAAGGCGUAAACUGUGGAGGGGCGCCGCACACGGCUAGGAAUCAAUGUUGUGUGUUCUAGAGAUGCCCCUCCCACAUAUAUAUUAGGUGGGAGAGGGAGGGGAGCAGCAAGGGGCGCCUCCUCCAAGUCGCCCCCCCCUCCCUUUCAUAAGUGUUGGAGGCUGAAUCCUCCCCUUUCCUUCUCCCUUCCCUCCUUUCCUUCUUCUCCUAUUUUGGUCUACAUGGGGCGCACCAGCCCACUAGGGGCUGGUCUGUCCCCUGCUUGGCCCAUUAGGCCCAUGUAGUUGCCGGGGGAUGUCCGGAACCCCUUCCGUUGACCCGAUAUGUACCAGGAACCCUCGGAACACUUCCAGUGUCCAAAUACCAUCGUCCUAUAUAUGAAUCUUUACCUAUCGACCAUUUUGAGACUCCUCGUCAUGUCCGUGAUCUCAUCCGGGACUCCGAACAACAUUCGGUCACCAAAUCGCAUAACUCAUAUAAUACAAAAUCGUCAUCAAACGUUAAGUGUGCGGACCCUACGGGUUCGAGAACUAUGUAGACAUGACUAAGACACCUCUCCGGUCAAUAACCAACAGCGGAAACUGGAUGCUCAUAUUGGUUCCUACAUAUUCUACGAAGAUCUUUAUCGGUCGUACCGUAAUGACAACAUACGUUAUUCCCUUUGUCAUUGGUAUGUUACUUGCCCGAGAUUCGAUCGUCGAUAUCUUCAUACCUAUUUCAAUAUCGUUACCGGCAAGUCUCUUCACUCGUUCCAUAAUACAUCAUCCCAAAAUUAACUCAUUAGUCACAUUGCUUUCAAGGCUUAUUAUGAUGUGCAUUACCGAGAGGGCCCAGAGAUACCUCACCGAUACUCGGAGUGACAAAUCCUAAUCUCAAUCUAUGCCAACCCAACAAACACCUUCGGAGAUACCUGUAGAGCAUCUUUAUAAUCACCCAGUUCCGUUGUGACGUUUGAUAGUACACAAGGCAUUACUCCGGUAUCCGAGAGUUGCAUAAUCUCAUAGUCAAAGGAACAUGUCUAUGACAUGAAGAAAGCUGUAGCAAUAAAACUGAACGAUCAAUAUGCUAAGCUAACCGAUGGGUCUUUUCCAUCACAUCAUUCUCCUAAUGAUGUGAUCCCGUCCAUCAAAUGACAACACAUGUCUAUGGUUAGGAAACUCAACCAUCUUUGAUUAACGAGCUAGUCUAGUAGAGGCUUACUAGGGAAACUGUGUUUUGUCUAUGUAUCCACACAUGUAUCUAGUUUCCGGUUAAUACAAUUCUAGCAUGAAUAAUAAACAUGUAUCAUGAUAUAAGGAAAUAUAAAUAAGAACUUUAUUAUUGCCUCUAGGGCAUAUUUCCUUCACUAAGAGAGGAAGGCGGUUGUCGCCCUUGUCCCUUGUUACCAGCCUACCAUGCCGUCAUCGAUCACUGGCUCACUUAGAACACGAGCUAGUAGAUUUUGUGAUAAGAGUGAGGAGGAUGGUACCGUAGAAAAUGUGAAAAAUUGUAUUUUAUUAGAGAUGGAUUCAAAACAAAUUGCUUGAGCGAGUGGUUUAUAUAUUUUCUUCAUCAAUUCGUACAAUUUUUUGGUUAGGAUAGAGGGGUAAAUGCAUUGGUUGGGUGCUUCAAGAUUUAAUAACGGACACAGUGGCAUAUUGGUUUCAUGCCAAACAACCGACAUCAUAUUUUUCUUUUGUCGUAAGGUACGACAUUCAACUGUAUGUUGGCAAUGUCUAAGGACAAUCAUAUCUGCCUUCUUGGGCGUCACGGGAGGCACAUGCCUUGUUCCCUUGAUGGAGGUGGCAGAUGGCAUGAUCACGGGGGGAGGGGAUCAGGGCAGAGAGCGGGGCGGUUGGCAGGUGAUAACCCACAAGUAUAGGGGAUCACAACAGUUUUCGAGGGUAGAGUAUUCAACCCAAAUUUACUGAUUCGACACAAGGAGAGCCAAAGAAUAUUCUCAAGUAUUAGCAGUUGAUUUGUCAAUUCAUCCACACCUGUAAGACUUCAUAUCUGCAGCAAAUUAUUUAGUAGCAAAGUAGUAUGGAAGUAACGGUAACGGUGGUAAAAGUAACAGUAACAGUUCUGUAGUAAUUGUAACAGUGGCAAUGGUAAAGUAACUAAGCAAAGAUCAAUAUGUGAAAAGCUCGUAGGCAUUGGAUCAAUGAUGGAUAAUUAUGUCGGAUGUGAUUCCUCAUGCAACAGUUAUAACAUAGGGUGACACAGAACUAGCUCCAGUUCAUCAAUGUAAUGUAGGCAUGUAUUUCGAAUAUAGUCAUACGUGCUUAUGGAAAAGAACUUGCAUGACAUCUUUUGUCUUACCCUCCCGUGGCAGGGGGUCCUGUUGGAAACUAAGGGAUAUUAAGGCCUCCUUUUAAUAGAGUACCGGACAAAAGCAUUAACACUUAGUGAAUACAUGAACUCCUCAAACUAUGGUAAUCACCGGGAGUGGUCCCGAUUAUUGUCACUUCGGGGUUACCGGAUCAUAACACAUAGUAGGUGACUAUUGACUUGCAAGAUAGGAUCAAGAACUCACAUAUAUUCAUGAAAACAUAAUAGGUUCAGAUAUGAAAUCAUGGCACUCGGGCCCUAGUGACAAGCAUUAAGCAUAGCAAAGUCAUAGCAACAUCAAUCUCAGAACAUAAUGGAUACUAGGGAUCAAACCCUAACAAAAAUAACUCGAUUACAUGGUAAAUCUCAUCCAACCCAUCACCGUCCAGCAUGCCUAUGAUGGAAUUACUCACGCACGGCGGUGAGCAUCAUGAAAUUGGUGAUGGAGGAAGGUUGAUGAUGACGAUGGCGACGGAUUCCCCUCUCUGGUGCCCCAAACGGACUCCAGAUCAUCCCUCCCGAGAGAGAUUAGGGCUUGGCGGCGGCUCCGUAUCGUAAAACGCGAUGAAUUCUUAUCUCUGAUUUUUUUCUCCCCGAGCGUGAAUAUAUACAGUUGGAGUUGAGGUCGGUGGAGCUUCAGGGGGCCCACGAGGCAAGGGGGCGCGCCCCCCACCCUCGUGGACAGGGUGUGGGCCCCUUGGUGUUGAUUCAUUCGCCAGUAUUUUUUAUAUAUUCCAAAAUAUUCUCCGUGAAGUUUCAGGUCAUUCCGAGAACUUCUAUUUCUGCACAAAAAUAACACCAUGGCAAUUCUACUGAAAACAGGGUCAGUCCGGAUUAGUUCCAUUCAAAUCAUGCAAGUUAGAGUCCAAAACAAGGGCAAAAGUGUUUGGAAAAGUAGAUAUGAUGGAGACAUAUUAGUAGGGGAUUCCUCCUUGAUGGUCCAUGGGGUUGUAUGUUGUGAAGGAGAAAGGAGACUACAGCGAAGGUCAAGUGAGCGUCAUCAGAUUUUAAUGUAGAGAGCACCAACGACAAAUUCCCGUUUAUGGCGGAAAAUUGAGCGAGAAGGGGACGUUCCGGUAGGAAAAGGGAAGGGUGCAUCGUCGAGUGGAGUUUUUGUGUUGGAACCGCGUGUUGGAGAUGAUGGAGGAUAAUAUGGAAAACCACAUAUCUUCCUCACAUAUAGGUUGGAUUUUGGUGAUCCCAGACUAUCUGAAUGGUUGGAUUUUCAGGAGCCUUUUAGGCGCCUAUCUGAUGUUCGAACACUCUCGGACAUAUGAGAGAGAAAUGGGCUUCAACCUUGGAGAUGAUCUUAAUCAUUUGUCUUGUCUAAUUCAUUUUUAUAUAUUAUAGCCUGUAGCAACACACGGGCAUUCCACUAGUAUUAAUUAGUGCUCUGGAAGACACCCGUUAAGAUGUGCUUCCAACACUCGAAGUGGGGGAUGUGUCCAAAUUAUGUCUUGACCGAAAUGCGCCCUGCAUCAAGAGUCAGUUGUCUAGCUGUAUGCCCUAUUCGCCACGCGGAGUUUCCUCGGUAAUUAAGGUAAAUCAAACAAAAUCAUUGGACAUUUAAUGACUACACCUUAUGCAUCCCCAGAGAUUGGAUCCACCCUACCAUACUAAGCCCUUCUAUCACUCGUGUUCAGAAUUGCACUUCACGUUGUCCCGUGUCCUAACCUCCACUUGGACCGAACUCCAGGAUCCAUGCAACCUGUAGGGCCGAAGAACGAGGUUGGGGGAGAGAGAGAGAAGAGACUACUAUGAUGUAAUUUUAUUUUAUAUAUACAUGACGUCCAUUCAAAGUCAUUCCAUCAACCCCUCAAACAAAUACAUCAGGUUGCAGGGACAUUGGACAUUGCCUUACCGAAUUACUCACACAUGGCGAUCGGAUCGCAAGAAGUAAUCAGUGAAGAAGACAUCGGAUCAGAUCACAAAACAAAGAGAGGAUUUCACAAUCCCUUGCAUUCAUCAGUCAUUAGUGGCAAUAUCAAUGGGAGUAUCAUAGAUUUUAUAAGAUAAACAUGUUUAGACUAUGGCAUGAUGAGCAUAAAAGUAACACACGUCAACUCUUCAAGAUUAAACUUGAUCAUCCUCUAGUAACAUAGAUAGAAAUCCAAACCGUAAGGAACUAGGUUGUUUAAUGCCUAGAUAGACCUCCGCUUCUUCACAUGAAAAGUUAGUAUAGCUGUAGCGGUGACAUGGUUAUUAUGCAAGUGUUAUUGAAGCAAAGAUAAUCAACACAAAGCUCUUGCUCACCUAGAAAAAAUAAAAAGUAGCUUUUAUUCUAUUUAAUCUAGUUAACACUUGCUUGCGGGGAACACAUGGAAGAGAAUUUUCUUUCUUGAGCAAUGAAAACAUAAAUUAAGGGAGUGAAAGUUAUGAAAACACAACAUGAUACUAGAGUAACUCAUUAACACCCACGAGUGUCUCAUCAUUAAUUCUCGCAAGGACUUCGCUUCAAUCAUUGCUUGCUGAAACUUUUCUUGUCUAGUGACGAGAUUAUGCCAAAGAAAUUAUUCAUGCAUAAGGUUUCGCAGAGGCUUAAGCUUGAGUACUAUUGAUGAGUCCAAAUUGUGUGAUUAUUUCUACGAGUAUUUUGUGCCAACUCCAUAGGCUUUGUGGAAUGUUACUGCGUUCACACACUAUUUUUGUCAUUUUUCCCCAGGACACUUCUUUUGGAACAAAUGGAAAACUAUGGUAGGAAUCACAUGAUAUUAUGGUGGAAUCACAUAAAUCAAUGUGAUUAUACCUUACCAUAAAUAGAAUAAAAUACUUAAAGGAAAUUGGAUCUGGCGCAGUCCAACAAAGUGCAACACGGGCAACCAUACGAGCGCACGUGCUCGUGCAUGCAGCCGUAUGGCAUGCUGGUAGCUCCCUCCCGUCGACUACUUCUUCCCUAUGGAUAAAGAUCGCCGAAUAGACACACACACACACACACACACAUACACACAACCACCAGAAACACAUCCAGGAGGAGAACCCUAACUUUUUGAACCCAUCCAGAGGGGAAUUGGUAAGGAGGAGAUCGCCAUCUUCACCACCAGGUGCAAGGGGACGUUGGCAUCAUCACCACUGUCAUCAUCAUCAUAAUCCACAUCAAUCUUCAUCUCGUUGUAAUAUCAGAACUCUAGUGGAUCAUCAUGCGUGUUACUUGUUUGAUUCAUCCAUGUUUAUCGUGCAUAUUCUGCUUCCCCUAUGUAUGAGUAAACCCCCUAGUUCUUAGGGAUAUGGAUGAAUCUUGGUAUGUAUAGGAGCUGAAACGUUAAUAUGUGAUAUUUUCUGUUGAAUGAUUUAGUUUAAUAGACUUCGUGAAUGUUGUGAAGGCUCCUCCCUCAAAAUUAUCACCGAAAGGUCACAAAGUAUAUUACUGUCGUUUUAAGAGUUAGCGAGUGAAGGUAAUUCGAGGUGACAGCAAAAGCAUUCACCCCUAGGUUUUACAAUUGAUUAGGGAAUUACGGAGAACCUUAGUGAGGCCGCGUCCAUAGAGAGACCCUUAAUUACCGUAGUCGUAACUUGUUGGGGGAGACUACUGUAGUGGCAUGCGUGGCAUGAAGUCUACCUAGAGUAGAAUGUGCUCUGUGCCCGGCUAUGCCCGGUGUAAACGUCAAGAAUGGUGUAAGUACAUCUAGUGCCUCCUUUGUGGUUAUAGACUACUGAAGACAAAUGUGUUAAGAGACUAAUGUGUUUGUGAGUGUACAUAGGUGAAAAGUCACAGAAGAUGUUGUUUAACCAUGAAAGACGACCCCUAAAAAUGUACGUUUAGAUUGAAUAAAUUGGUGCGCCCCUUUGAAGAAAUUGACGUGACGAAUUGGAACGUGAAGAUUUUGUUCCAGUAGUUUCUUUUUUCUUAUAUUGAUUCAUAGGAAACACCAUACUGUUAAAGGGGGUCUAGGUCAUAUGUAUGCGUAUUUCCGAAGUGAUGCUCAACCUACCUAUUUCUUCGAGUGAAGACUAUGAAAAUCUCUUGAAGUGCAGUCGAGUUCCACAACAACAGAGACACAGUUCUUCUGUUCGUUGACGAAAUUGGUCUGAAGGAAGAGUUAGGAUUUCGCCGGUGUGAUUCUCCUACCGUGAGAAAUUUGAGAGUUUAAAUUUCCAACCGUUGCCGGACUAAGGCGGUUCUCGAGUCUAAGCCCGUCAUAAGUGUUGUGGCAACGGAGGUGCAAGAAGUGCUGAAGGUGGGGUACUAUCGAUGUCAUGGUGAGCGGUCUGAGGACCGGCAUGUCAUUCGCCAGUGACAAGAGUUCCGAGGUGGUGUACAAGUCAUCCUUCAUGUGUUUCUUGGUGCAGGUUCGGAGCUAGCAAAAACACAAGGAUGCUGAACAAAAGCACCCCAUCUCAUAUGAGCUGGCGCUAGUCCAGCCUCACCGUGCUGCCGCCACCACCUAUGUUAUUUGGCUUCGCAAUCCCCUCCUCCACGGAGAGAGGCAUGGGUUUACUUGGUGUGGAGUUCGACGUCACCUGCGGCGAGAGUGGAUGUCACAUAACUUUACAAGUGGGAUCCACCAAGAUACAGUGCCAUGUAGGCAAAGUUUGCGGUUACAUGCGAGAAAUGCACCAUAUUAGCCAACUGAUUGUACCAGAAAUCGAUUUCCAUCUUUUGGCAUGAAAAUGAACAUGCAAGCCAAGUUUAGGGACCACGGGUAAAUUCAUCUCUUAAAUAAUACAAAAGGCUUUUUCAUCCUCCCACAUCCUCCCUUUUACUCAUUGGAUAUCCACACACUACAGAGGAGCUUAGUAGCAGCGCUUUUUAUAAGAAAGCGCUGCUGCUAAAGAAUGGUAGCGCUUGUCACCGAAGAGCACUGCUAAUAUCCAUCUAGCAGUAACGCUUUUGUUACAAAAAACGCUACUACUAUAGUUGCCAACGGUUGCAUGGCAGUGUAGGUAUACUAGUAGCGCUCUUAAUUAAAAAGCACUACUGCUAUUGUACAUAGCAAUAGCGUUGUCCUCUGUCGAGCGCUACUGCUAUUUUUUCAGGUGUAUGUGUGGGCUGAUAUAUAACUGUACAACUUUCUCAUGUUGCGAGUGAAAGACAUUGUGAGUUUUCCAUGAUCUUGCUUAAAUACAGGUACGACUACUGAACUGAAAUUAAUCUUAUCGUGCAUAUUCACUUGCAAUUGGUAUUCGUAAAUCUACAACACAUGUCAUUAAUGCAACACAGCUUGAUCAUGGAUAUAAAAAAUGAUUAUUGUUCUUUGUAUGCACAUAUGUAUUGGUGGUUCAUCAAUGCCAUAUGCAUCUUGGCUAUAGAUAUCCAAAUUGUUAGUGUUUUAUCUCCACACAAAUAUGUUGAUCCUCCUAUUGGACAUGCUGGUCUUAGUGCCCUCUCUAUUCACAAAUAUGUUAAUGCUCAGUUUAGAUCUUCUCGUAUUAAUACACUUCUAGCUUCUAUUGGAUGGUGAAUGCAACAUUUCAUUUGUAUUAAUAUGUCUACUUGUUAUUGCGGGGAAUAUUAAUAUGUCUAAUGUAGCUUCAUUAAUGCAACUCAACUUGAUCAUGGUUUAAAUGAUCAUUGUUCAUUUUAUGCCCUUGCAAAAAAAAGAAGGGUUCAGUGUAUGUAUAGAUAUAUUGACAUGAUACAUGUUUUAGAUAACCUUGCAUUAAUAUGUCUAAUUUCCAUUUCUGUUCUCUUUCCUCGUUCUACAGAUUUCAUAUUUGUAUUCAUUUUAAGAGUUCUUCAAGAUGCACAUAAUUUAGUCACUGGUUACAAUCUAAAUGUAAGAAAGCACAUAAUCUGUAGAACGUGCAACCUAUGUGUUAUCCAUGUGAUAAAAUUAAAAUCAACAUCCUAGAUCAAAUGUCCAAGUCAACUAAAAAGAGAUUUCCUUACAAGUAAUGUCAAGCCGCAUUUUCAAAUCACAAACAGUUUUGAGCAAUGAAUGAUCUCAAAAAAAAAUCAUCCUGCCUGCCACCGUUUAUCUCUUUGGAUGUCCACAUAUUGUGUUUUUUUUAUGGUGAGCGUCUGUGCCAAUAGAUAAACUAACGAGUUUUUCAUCUUGUGAUCGAGUCAAAGAUAUUCGAUUCUGUGUUUUUCAUGAUCUUGCUUGUACGUACGACCAUGAAACUACUAUUGUUAUCGUGUAUGAAUACUUGCAACAGGGUGCUUCAGCGCCAGCACCGACCAUGGAUGCACAUGAGUAUGCAUGGAUGCGUGCAUGUAACGACCUGAUCGCUCCUGCAGGUGAAAGUACAUGUUUCUCUUAGGUCUGUGCACCAUCAAGGCCUUGAACAGUUCCUUCAUGAGUGUCAAGUGAGACUUCAUGUCUCUAUGGUGAACAGACAAACUUCAGCGGAUAUGUUGCUCUCAUGGCACGGCAAAGACAAGAACAAUAGAUGGACUCUUGCCACUAGUAGUAUUGAUCCACGCUUGACACAUGACUACUCAUGGAGAAGACCCAUUCCUUUAUAACAUUUCCCUUUUAUUCAGUCUGUUUUGGUGAAUCAGCAGUUAGAAGAACUUCUUCUUCUGUUAAAAAUAGGUUUUCUAACCCAAAUUAAAGUUAGAUUUCACAAGGAGUGAACCAGUGACAUUGUUGUAUCCCCUUGAAGCAGAGAAGACAUGGGUGCGACAAUCAUAUUUCCAAUCAUCCAGCUGGUCUUUUACAAGUAUCCCUUCUUGAAUACUCGGUUCAAUAAAUAAGUUGUUCACACUUCACAGCCAUCCAUGUGCAUAUAUAGUAAGUUAAUAACACAAAAUCCGAGUAAAUUUAUGCGACAAUAAGGUUUAUUAUUGUUAUUUCAAAUAACUGAUGCGACAACAAAUAAUAUUAAUCACGGACAUCAUAUGAUAUUAGUAAGGUGUUGUUGAGGAUGAGAAGCAUGUACAACUCCUCGUUUUCUCUGAUGAGCGCCUCCGCACCAGGCAUAUCUGGAAGCUCUAACCAACACAUGAUGAUAGGGUUGUAAUUAAUAUCCACACAGUCGGGCAGAUGCAAGAACUGCUGCCCACUCUUGUCACCUUGGUAGUCCUUGAUCAGGCCGUGGCACACGUUGAGGCGUCUCACCACACCUUCAUACUCCACCUCACAAUAACUGAGAACAUGCAUUGCCACUGUUCCCUUCUUGGCAUCUUGCAGCUUUUGCUUGAUCUUACGACUAGCGGCAGUGACACGGCUCUUAAAGAUGUCGACAGUGACAAGCACUAAGUCACGGAGGUCCUUAGCCUCAGCACUUCGAUUGUCCGACUGAAGGGUGGACAAGCAGAAUUCUUGCGUGAUAGAUUUGUUGUAGGGGUUGUUGAUCGAGGCCUUCUUGCAUGUUUCCACCAUGAGCUUGGUCGCCUUGGGCUUGCCAGUGUCAGAGCCACUAGCAUGAGCGGAAAAAAGGAAGAAGAUGAUGGUGGAGAGGACGAUGGUAGUCCUUGGCAUUGCUACCAUUACUACAGGGCUAGCUAGAAGCCUUGAAGUACUGAAGCGCUGAGAGGGAGGUGGAGAAAAAUAGACAGAGAAGGAUGUGUAUUGCAGAGAUGGAUGGGUGGAUGGAGGUGAUGUACAUGAGGCUGAGAAUUCUUUAUAAUGCCUGCAAUGGGGUAUCAUAAAUGCAGUAUGCAGCUUUGGUCCAGAAUAUGUGUACUAUCGGUGUCCAGUAAAUGUUGAAUGCCCAUUUUGGAUCCCUACAUAUUAAUGCUCUCUCUAUGUUCCACAAAUACACAGAUGCUCACUAUAGAUCGUGUUGUAGUAACACAUAUCUUACUUAUAUGAAUCCAUUAAUGCAACGUAGCUUGAUCAAGGAUAUCCCAAAUGAUUAGUGUGCACCGAAUGCCCAUAGAUAUGUUGAUGCUCAUUUUGGUACGUCUUAUUUGCAUUGGUGUUUUCUAAACAUCAUUUUGUAUAACUGAUUUGUUACUUCUACCUCCCUUUGGGGGACGAUUAUAUUUUCCCUCAUCAAGUCUAUAAUUGCUCAUUUUUUCUUUGCAAUUUUCGAGUAGUUACAAAUAAUUCUCAGGGAGCAGGCACUUAGUUAACUUGGUGACACAAUAAAUAUUUUUGUUAAAAUAUCAAAAUUUUAUAUUUUAAAUUUUUUUAUUUCCAAGUCGAUUAUUGUCUGAUGGGUUGACUUUUACAACAGUUGUAUUCCCCCAGUUAAAAAUCACAACUUAUUUUAGGGAUUAAAUGAUGCCAGCCGGACUAACGUAUCGUUCGUAGGCACUGUCAAAAAAUAAGCAUGUUUACUGCCCACCGCCUAAGAAAAUCAAAACAAAAAUUACCAAUACCAACACGUCACAGUAUGGGUUUAUUCGGUUUCGAUUCUCGUUACUACGUAGUAGGAAGGAAAAAAAAGAGCUAGCGAUCAUAAGGAGGUAACCUGUAUCAUAGGUACAUGAUGCGCACGUACACGCCGGUAUCUUAUAUUUUAUAUUUUAUAUCUUAUAUUUACUAAUUGGAAGCACCUUUCAAGUCUUCUCAUUAAUCAACAUUAUAAAAAUUAAAUACACCGUUGUAGUAUAGAAUUUACGUCUAAGAUGAAAGGAGAACUUACGUAACAUAAACUUGGAAGGGAAAAAGAUAUAGGGAAAGGAGAAUAAAAAUAGAAGUAAAACAAAGAAAAUAAUUUAGAUGGGCCAGCCCAUUAUUGUUUGCCUUGUGCGAAAUUCUGACUAUUUAUGGCGCUGUGCGGAAAAUAGAGUUUUUCCAGCUGCAUGGGCAGAAAAAUAAGUGGGCUGGCUUUGCUGGGCCACCGCGCGUGGCCCACGUACAACAAUUCUUUUUCUAGCAAACAAACGCAUAAGACCUUUGUACCACCUCGGGUAGAAAGAUUGUUUUUUCGACGGUGAACGGAUGAAAAUAUAGGCAAAACGCACCUUGCUUCAUUAGUAGUAGCACAUAUGCCCGUGCAUUGCAACGGGAGAGAUGUUUCUUUGGAGAAGCAAUGGGAGAGAUAAUUGAUGUCUCCACCAAAAAUGAUCUCCAUAACGGUGCGGUUAGUCGGCAUAGCGGCAACCAUACAACUCGUGCAUUUUUUUCCUUUGGGUCAGUCUCUGUCUCGGGGUUGUGUCUGCCUCUACGUUUGGUAGCUAUGCGGCGACCUUUAGAGCACGGUUGCUUCGACCACUCUCUCUUACGAUGGCGUAACCGGAUGAAUUACUAAUUGUAGCGCUUAAAUCCUGUUUCAUUAGCAUAUAUAUUUAGCGCAUAACCAGAUAUCAAUGUCCCUUCUUUAUUAGGGUUUAUUUUCUUUGAUUAUUUUAGGGCUCACGUGCCCACAACUAUUUUAUUCGAGCCAAACCAACAUAUUCUCUUUUAUUGGACCAAGAAAAAAUUGCUCCCUCAGACGACCCAGUAGGGAGUGUGGUUGAGGCCCAAUACAGCCUAUGCGUCGGAGCAAUGUUUUUCUUGGGCCAAGUAUGUGGGGGCUACUAUAUGACGCUAGUUGCGUAAAAUAACGUGUGAGAUGCACAUCAGUUCGUGUAUGGACCAACACACUGGUAGGCGCCAAGACGACCUAUGUUAGGAAGGCACGGAAAAAUCCAAAAAAUAAUGAGUUGAAGGAUCAAAAUCAUGUCCUGAAAGACCCGACUACGUGCUCAUAGCCACUCGAAGAAACGAGUCCUACCAACCAAUGGCCAGCUCAAACCUUUAAUAUCAUACUCCAAUGUGAGAUUGGAUACAAUUUUUUUAACUGUUUAAAACAUAUAAAUUGCUGAAUAUUCCUGAAAACAUGAAUAAUUUUUAAAAUCAUAAACACUUUUUGAAAUUCUUUACAUUUUCAGAAAUACACAACAAAAUUGGAAACCCUCAAAAUUCACAAAUUUAUUUGAAAUCAUAAACCUUUUAUAAUAACGUGAACACGUUUUGAAAAUGCGAUUUCGUUUGAAAAAGAAACAUAUUUUGAACAUUCAAAACAAUUUUUGAAAAUGUGUUUCUAUAAACUUGGACAUUACUUUGAAUUUGCGAACACUUCACUAAAACAAAAAUAUUUUUCAUAUUUGGAACAUUUUCUAAAUGCAUUUUUUUUGGGAAAAUCUCAAACAACUUUGGAAAACACAAAGAAAAAAUGGAACAUUUUUUGAAACCUGAACAAAUUUUGGAAUGAGAACAAAGCACUACUGGGAAGAGGCUAAUUAGUGGCGUACAUAUUUUUGCUAUUAAUGACGCACUAUAGGUGCGCCACUAUUACCACGCCACUAGUAACAAAUAGUAAUAGCGCACCAUUACUAUCACAGAUAGUAAUGGCGCACCUAUAGUGCGCCAUUACUAUGCCUAGAAGGUGCGCCAUUACUAUCUGACUUAGUAAUGGCGCACCACAUAGAAGUGCGUCAUUACUAACAAAAUUUUUUCAUAAAAAAAAUUUCUAAAUUUUUUUCAUAUAUUUUUUCCCUUUUUUUCUUAAUCUCAGGUCAAUAUGCUUAAUCUCAAGUCAAAUCGCACUCCGUGGUCAAACUUGCCGGAAGGUCACCCAUCCUCACACUACUCCGGCCCGAGCACGCUUAACUUCGCAGUUCUAUCCAACCCCAGCACCAGCUUACUUAACAUGCACUUGUUGAUAUAUAUCUAUCAUAUCGAUCCUAUUAAACCUUGUUGAUGUCUAGAACUUUAUUCAUGUUCAUGAGUGUGAUGAAAUUUCAAACUUCCCGGUCCUAUUACGUAUCAUAUUUUGAAAAAAAAUUGAAACCAAUUUUUUUUCUGUUACUAGUGGCGCACCUAGCAAAUGGUGCGCCACUAGCAAGUUUGAUUUUUUUUCUUUUCCCCACUCUAGAUCUUAAAAGCCUCGUAUCUUUCAUUCUGUUAGGUUUUUCGGGAUUCUGAAAAUCUUGUAACUUUUUGAGUAGAUGCUUUUUCAUAUAUAAAACUUUUUAAUCCGAGUUCGUAUGUAAAAGUUAUGCCCAUUUUACUAAAUUCCAGAGAGAUUUUUUAAAUAAAGUCGAAAUUCAUAUUUGUAAAUUUUCCAACAACUAGACCACAUAUCACAUGGGAAAUUUAUUUCCUUUUUUUUUUGACAUUUCCAUCAUUUUCUUUUAUUUUUUCUAAAACUGAAACGGCGGUCCAGAGGGGUGGGGGUGCAAAGAAAGUAAGUAAUGACACACCUUCACAAAGUGCACCAUUAUUAUGUGUAUGACUUGGUCAAACCUUGGUCAAAGAUAGUAAUGGCACACUUUGUGUAGGUGCGUCAUUACUAAGUUUGACAUAGUAAUGGCGCACCUAUGCAAAGUGCGUCAUUACUAAGUUUGAUCAAGGUUUGACCCAGUCAUACACAUAGUAAUGAUGCACUUUGUACAGGUGCGCCAUUACUAUGUCAACUAGUAAUGACGCACUAUCCUCUAGUGCGCCACUGCUAACAAUUUUUUUAUUUUUUUCUUCAAAACUAGUACUAGCGCACCACACACCAGGUGCACCACUAGUAAUAUAUCAAUAAUGACGCACCUGUAUCUGGUGCGCCACUGCAUACAUGGUGCGCCAUUAAUGUCCAAAUUAGCUAUAGCCCUUUUCCUAAUAGUGAAGAUUUAAUGUUCUGAACAUUUUUUGAAAAGGAAUAUAUAUUAAAAUCCCAAACAUUUAAAAAAACGGAUUUGUGUGAUAUUAUGAGUUUUAUUGAAAAUUUUGGUUUUAUGAAUAAAGGGGAGAUAGAGAAAUAAACUUGAAAGGAAAAAAGAAAAAAGAAAAGGAAAGAAAAUAGAAACCAAUGGAGAAAGAAAAGUAGAAACAUAACAUAGAACAAAAAGAAAUGGUUCAACCAAGCUCGAGCGCCUUAUGCGAAUUUGUGACUAUUUUGGAAUGAGAACAAAUAUUUAUAUUAUAAACUUUUUCAAAAAAGAAUAUAUUUAAAGUUCUGAACAUUUUUUUAGAAAAUUGAUUCUUAUGAUAUUAUGAAUGUUUUGAAAAUUUUGAAUUUACAAAAAAAUGGGAGAAAAAUAAACUUGAAAGGAGAAAACACCAAAGAAAAAGUGAAAGAAAUGGAAAAAGAAAAAUAGAAACAUAUUUUAAAGUUCUGAGCAUUUAAAAAAGUCGAUUUUUUAUGAUAUUAUGUAGUUUUUUGACAAUUUUGAAUUUACGAAAAAAGGAGAAAAAGGUAAACUCGAAAGGGAAAAAGACCAAACAAAAGGAGAAAGAAACGGAAAAAGAAAAACAGAAACAUAACACAAAACAAAAAAAGAAUAUAUUUCAGCCCAGCUUGGGCGCCCAGUGCGAAUUUACGACUAUGUAACGCUAAUUGCGAUAAAUAGGGUUUUUCCACCUGCAUGUACACAAAAAUAACUGGGCUGGAUUUCGUGGGCCAAUACUGUGGGCGGCCCAUGUACGAGAUCUGGCGUUUUUCUUUUCUAAUAGACAAACGGACAAAAAAAUUGUACCACCUCGAAUAGAAAAAAAAUCUUUUCAUUGGUGAACGGAUGAAAAAAUCAGAGAAACACACCUUGCUUUAUUAGUAGGUAUAGAGGUAUAGAUAUAGAUAUAGAUAUAGAUAUAGAUAUAGAUAUAGAUAGUAUGGAUAGAAAAAUGAAAUUUUCCAUCCAUGCUAAUCAUAACAUAAAUUGUUUAAGAAUUCGUUGGUACACAUAAAAACAUCUAAUGUGAAUAAUCUAUGGUUCUUAUAGUAUUUGCUAGGAUAUCAUGUAUGUUAACGGAAAGUCAUGCAUGCAUGUGUCCAUUAUUGUGUAUAGAAACAAAGUAUUUAUAAUUCUACCAUUCUUUCGUGGCAAAAACAAGCAUGUAUUCCUUCUUUUAGGUUAACUAAGAAAGGCUACAAUAGAACACUCGACCUUUGUGCCUUUUAGAAACUUCUAGAUCACGAGUGCAUGAUGCACACAAUAACUUUUGCGUUUGUAACCAUGUUUUCUACCAACAUAAAAAAUAUACCCUUAUAUAACCUUCAUAAAGUAGCACAUUCUUAUUUCCACAUAUCUUCUAUAAAUUUGACGUGAUUUUCCAUCACACAGCGAUAUUUUUAUACUUUCGUCACAAAAUUGGACAUAAACAAUCAAUCACAAAAUAGUCAAAGAAAUGUAACUUCAUUGGAUCCAAUGUGCAUGUGUAAUAAUAAUAACCUAUAUCCAAAUGAUUGUUUGAUAUUUAUAAUUUGUCAAAAAUAUGUUAUAUCUGAUAUUACAAUUGCUAGCCCGUGCAGGUGCACGGAUUGACGACUAGUGAUAUGUAGAUAGAAUUAAUUAUGAUUACCAUUCAAUAAUUUUUCUUUAUGGAUAUCCAAAUUUAUGUUUAGAAUCAACAUUUCUACAUCAAUUUUUUCCGGGGAUUUUUUUUACUUAGUAAACAUAUGGAUAUUUAGAAAAAAUUUGUGCUAAUUGUGUGCUCUCCUUAGCCUAUGUUACAAUGCAUGGUUUUCUCGGUUAUUUUAGAAAAUGCAUGUAUUUCUCUAUUGCCAACUUCUCACAGAUGCAGUUAAGUUUCGUAAAAGUUUAGAAUGGCAGCCAACACGAAAAAGGAUAAAAGUAUCAUCAUUUGCACAUUUUUUCACCUUCUUCACUAUCUAUAUUUAUAAGGAUAUUCACUUUGCGAUUUAUGUUUUCCCAAUUUGCUACAAAAGCGCAGAACGAACAUUUUAGAAAAUAAAUGCAAAAUGUGUAAAAUAAAAUGUGUAGGUACAUAAUUAAAAAUCUUGGACGACGAUAACUGCCACACGUGUGGCAUCUAGGGGGUAUGUGCCGCACGCCCCGUGUGGCAUCGACACAGGCCCGCCCGCACGAGCACGUCCGCGCGCACCCCACCACAGCCCGCACGUUCGGUGUGUGGCGCAAUCGCCCGCACUAGCACGUCCGGGCGAGCGACCUCACGGCCCGCACGACCCGUCUCGGCCCUCGCCCCUCCCCGCCUGCGAGCCACACGCCCCGCGUGGCAGUAACCACGCGUCCCGCCGUGAUUGCCAUGGUCCGAACCCUCUUCCAUGUUCGUUUAACUGUAGUUGCCAUGUUGCUGAACUGCAGUUGCCAUGUCUGACAACUACAGUUGCCAUGGUUGCUCAACUGCAGUUGCCAUCUCAGGUCAAGUGUCGGAUGCCAUUUUUGGGCAACUGUAGUUGUUGCCAUGUAUGAUCUGGUCUACUAUAGAUGCCAUGAUUUGAAAACUUUAGGAUUUGCCGCCUACUAACACUAGACAGUUGCCAUGUAGCACUACAAAAACAUGGCAAAAAACAUGUUCGGGUAAAAGAGAGAGUUGCCAUCUGCUUACAAGCACACUAGGGCAGUUACCAUGUACCCUGCAAAAACACAUGGCAAUUGAUAGCUUUUGGUGUGUGGGAGAGGAGACGGGCAUGUGGGCGACGGUGGUAUCUUUAGGAGUUGCCACCUACUAACACUAGACAGUUGCCAUGUAGCGCUACAAAACAGACGUGUCAACAAUAACAUGUUCGGGGUAAAGAGAGUUGCCAUCUGCUUAUAAUCACAAAUAGGGCAGUUGCCACGUACUAGCACUGGACAGUUGCCAUUUAGCGCUACAAAAACAGACGUGGCAACAAUAACAUGUUCAGGGUAAAGAGAGUUGCCAUCUGCUUACAAUCACAAAUAGGGCAGUUGUCAUGUACCUUGCAGAAAACAUGGCAAAUGACAACUUGGUUUGGGAGAGUGGGAAAAAGGGCAGUCAUGGGAGAUGGGGAACAGAAGUCGUGCGCGGCGUGCGGGCGCGACAGCAGUUCCACCGCACGCCCCGACUCGCAACCGGUCUCGUCCGAGGGAGAAACAGCAUGCGGGCGAACUACCUACACACCACACACCGGGCUUGUCCUACGUGGCACACCAAAUCCAUCUUUUGGUGUCAGGAUUCGUGCAAAAAAUAACCAACGACAAUCCAGGCGUGUGGGCGAGUUGAAGACGUUCCACGCGUGUGGGCGUUAAUGUUUCCGAAAAUCUUAUAUCUCCGUCUCAAACAAAAAAAAGCCUCCUUCCAUAAGAAACAGCUCAUACGUGAAACUCUUCUCGCCUAUUAAAAAAAAGGAAAAGCAUCCCUCCCCCAAAAAAAGAGAAAACGUCUCCACUAGCUCCUGUACUUUUUUUAGGCAACCACGUCUCCUCUAUAUGGUCAGAUCUUUCAAGACUUCUUACUAAUCAGAACCACUACGUUGUAAAUUUAUAUCCAAUAAAGAAAACUUGCCGAAUCAUAGAUGGUCUCGUCCAAAAAAAAUGUCAUGUGAUACGUCCAACGUUGUCAAAAAAACAUUCUCCGUUCCUUAAAGAGAAAAGAUAGCGUCCUUAGAAAAGCACUACCAAUAAAAGGAAAAGAAAGACGGAAUCCAAUUGAUGACCGAUGAAACUCCAUAAAUAAAAUCUUCUGUCAAUCGAUUUUAAAAGAAGAAACAUCUGGCUCAGUUCCUCUACAUGGCCGCAUACUCCACUUCCUCUUCAAUCCUGCUCUCCUACAUGUGGCUGGUGGUGGCGAUUUCUCUAACCGAAGGAUAUACCCAACUCGCCAUCACCAUCAAGUGCGCUCUCCCACCAGCAGGGCCAACAACAAACUGCAAAGAAACCUGACGACAGGUGCUGCGAGGUAUGAUGCAAGAUCGACUGCGACCCCAAGCGGCAAUCGAUCUUCCUCAUUGUUAUUGUCACCGCGUCUCCUUCCAUCCACCCCGGGCAUCAAAGUUCACCCUAUUUUAUGAUAAUAAAAAAGUCCAACUACCAAGUACAACCUCUAAUAAGUUCUUCUUGGAUUCAUGCUCCGACAAGACUAUGAUCCAACUAUGAUAAUAAUGGAUUAAGGCACGGAUUGCUAACACUUAUCUGCAUAUAUAGUACGUAUGCAUGUCUUUAUUUUGGUCUUAGAAAAAAGAGAAAAUUAGCUAUUAAAGCAUCUUUAAAUACAUACAAAUUACCGAAGUAACAAGAAAAUAUGGAUGUACCAUGCGCCACGAAGAUCUAAUAGACACACGAUUAUCUAUGUGGUAUAGGUAUGUAUACAGUAUGGAUAGAAAAUAUAAAAAAAUGACAUCCGUAUUAAAAAUAUAAGAAAUUCUUUAAGAAUUUGUUUGUUGAGACUAGAACUUAAAACCGGAAUAAUCUAUGGUGCUUAUAGUAAUGAGAAUAUACUACAAACUUUUGUUUGCCAUCACACAAUGACAAUAUUAAUAAGGUUGUCACACAAUUGGAGGCAAACAAUCAAAUAACAAAAUAGUCCGAAGCAAUGUAACACUGUUGAACCUUAUGUCUAACAAAGAUAAACAUGCAUGUGUGACAACAAUAACCCAUAUCAACAUAUUAUUAUUGUCUGACAUUUCUAAUUUGUAACAACUUUGUUGUAUGCAAUAUUAAAAGUGCUAGCCCGUGCAUGUGCACGGGUUGAUGACUAGUAUAGUAUAACUCUGAGACAUGCCUAUAUAACCUCUUAUUUGCAUACGUUCUUUUAAAACAUAGCAUAGACAAACCACAUUACAUUAUAAUAAUGAAUUUGUUUUUUCUCGGUGACAGGGUAACUGUUAUUUCUAUGUCGACCAGUUGUAGCUUGAAAGAAAGUGUUAUAAAACAAUUAUGUUACUCCCUCCUCCAUAAUCUAGUGCGUAUAGAUUUUUUCUAAAAGUCAAACUUUCCAAACUUUGACCAAGUUUAUUGCAAAAACAAAUUAUAUCUACAAUAGCAAAUAUAUUUAACAUGAAACUACAUCUUAUGGUGAAUCUAAUGAUACACAUUUGUCAUUCUAGAUGUAAAUGUCUUUCUUCACAAAUUUGGUCAAACUUUGUGAGGUUUGACUUUUCAAAUAAAUUAUAUUCACUAUACUACGGAACGGGGGUAGUAUAUUUUAGGUAUAGAAGUUUUCAACACACAUUUUCACAAAUUCUAAGAUUAAAAUUGCAUAUUAUUUGUUAAAAAAUUAACUAUCUAAUUCUCGUUCAACAAAGAAUCAAUAGUCUAGGAAAAUGCGAGCACCAUUGUCAAGUCUAGGACAUGAAGCCUGAAGGGCUGCGGAUACCAUUGUCCUCCUUACCAUUCAACCAGAGGUUGGUUCACGUUGGCUCUCACAUGUUGACGGUCGUGUGCAUCGGUAUGAAGUUUUAUUUCGGACAAAUUUCCUAUGACAGGCCGGCUACUAGAAUUAUCGUUACCCUAGAAAAUGUUGCCAUGGUUCAAAUAAAUCAAAUUCAAAUAAUCCAAAUUUCAAGUAAGAUAUAGAUGAUAUUAUUGACACAAAGAUGGUCAUGGCCUCUUGGCUACACAUGAUUGUUUGCUAGAGAGGGUCGAGGAAUUGAAUUCCGUUUUCCCACCAAUUUUUUUGCGAUGUUACUUUGGCUGCCCAUCGGAUCUUCGCGCUUGAAAAGACUGCAUCCAUAGAGGUAAUGGGAGAGAUAAAUAACUUCAAAACAUCAGAAGAACACAAUGACAACAACAGAAUUUCAGGAGCCAUUUUAAAGAUAUGUUCCACAGGGAGGGACCGAUGGCAUCAUUUUUAGCCUUUGAAGCAAAAAAGACGGAUGACCCCAAACAAGUCUCCAAUUAUCCUAGAAAAAUAAAGAAUUUAUUCAAAACCAUGCAUAUUAAUAUAUCAACAGACAAAAUCAGAGUAAAAUCAAUGCCAUGAUAACUUUAUUAUUAUUAAGAGUACAAUUAAUUUCACAUCAACAUAUUUUCUUAGAAAAAAACAAACAUUAUAUAGUCGAGAAACAUCACAUCUGGUGCUACCAAGGCAGUGUUCAAUUUAACCAGCAUGCCCAGUUCACUGUUUCCAUUGACCAGAGCCCCCACUCCACGCAUAUCGACAAGCUCGGAGUCGCACUCAUCGACAUAAUCAUAUGCCAUAUCCACACAACUGGCGAGCUCAUUGGACCGUAGCCCGUCCUCGUCGCCUUGGUAAUCCUUGAUCAUGGGAUCACAUAUGUUGAGGACGCUCAACACAGAGUCAUAUAAUCCACCUCACACAAACUAAGGUCAACUCCACCGUGUGACUUCAAAUGGACGUCCGUUUUACCCGGAUUCUGUCCGUUUGGAUAGGGCAAUGGGGUCGCGUCCGGGCGGGAUGCGCUGGCCGUUCGCCCAACACGCGGACGCAUCCCGGCCGCAUCUUGUCCGCAUAGAUUUUUCUUUGUAAGCCCUUAACUUUUUUUCAUCAUUCAUUUUUGAUACAUGGAAUACAUCACCAAAUUUUGAAUAGAAAAAUAAGACCAAAAAAAUAAGAACCACAAAAAUACAUUUUAGAAGAUAUUUAACUUCCAUAACUGCUCCUGUAAGUUGGAUUAGUGCCUUCUCGAUGCAUUCAUUGUUUAUCUGCAGAGGAGGCUCGAUCUUGCGUGCUUCUUUCUUCUUCGAGUCUAAAGAAGUAGAGGUUGCUUUCUCGCAUCUAGUCUCAUGUCUAGCCUCUAAUCUAGCAACAAGUGCACUAGUCUCAUCUCUAGCCUCUAUGCUAGCUAAAAGUGCACGAACAUCUAAUAAAUUGCGCUCUAACAAUAUAUCGAUGUACUCUUCUUCCCAAUACCAAAACUUGCAUCCAUGCUACACAAUAAAAUUUUAAGUUAGCACGCAACUAGUCAAAUCUAAGAGCACAACCGAACCUAAAAAGAGCACAUACCCCAUCAUUUAAGCAUUUGAUGAACACCCAUCCUGAAUGUUCCGGCGUUGUAGACAUGCGGCCAACGACCUUCUUUGGGCGGUGGUCGCACUUAAUUAGUGGCAACGGUGCACCGACGAGCUUUUUGGCUAGCACCGAGCCCGGCCGAGCGUCAUAAGUGUAUCUGACGGCAGACCACCAACGGUGUAGAUCCGAGUGGCUAGAGGAGGAGCCACUGCCUGCAUGCGGCCUUGCGGCCCUGCCAGGGCCUUCCGGCCCAGUGCCCAGCCAGUCCAUGGCGCGGCGCGGCCUCCCACAGCCGGGCGAGCUCGAGGCUGACCGGAUCUGCCCCAAAUCCGGCCGGCGGGUGCGCAAAUCAGGUGGCCGUGAUUGGGUAGCUCGGGGGCGCCGAGGGGAAGGGGUUGGGCGAGCGCGCGUCCAAGCUGCACAGCUACAAUGGCAGCGGCGGCGGCGAGGGGAAGAGUGGGGAAAAGUGGAGAAGAGUGGAGGGGGUGCGGCUGGAGGAAGGGAGGGGGGCAGAUAGAAAAAGGUGUCCUUGUGCCAUCAACGGGCGGGCCAGGGAAGGACACGCGCAGACGCCCCGCCCGUCCGCGUGCUGUCCCUUUCACCCCAAAAGCGGCGCAAAUAUGGGCCGGGGAUGGGUCGAAAGCGGACAGAAAACGGAUAAAAAUUUUGCGUCCGCGGUUGGGCCGUCUGGUUCGUCCGUUUUAUCUCAAACGGACGCAUGCGGACAGGAGGGGGGCGCGUGGUGGAGUUAGCAUAAGGACACGCAUUGGCACCGUGCCUUCUUGCUUCAUGUGUUUGUUGUCUUCGCACAGGAGCUCUAGCACAGACGUUCUUAGGGUCAACCUCUGUCAACACAUGGGGUGGCCUGUUCGGCACGCCUGUGUAAAAAAUCAUGACACAGGCAUGAGGUAAUAGUUAGGGGUCUACUCCCUAAUAGUAUAUAGGACAAAGAUCAAUGGAACGCUCAUUGUUGUGGGCAGCGAGUUGCCAGAAACAUUUCUUCCUGCUCUGCUCUGCUCGCUCCUCCUCCAGGCGACAGACUCCUCUUCCCGGGAACGCACCCACAGUCGCCGGUGAAAGAUCCGAUAACAAGCGUGACAUCAUAUUCCACCAUGGCGUGGGUGCCGAGCAUAGUGCCCAUCGCAAGGCUAGCCUUCACCGCGCUCGUCGGCGUCGCCAACGCCGUGCUCAAUGCCAGCAUGAUGGCUGCCGCGUUUCACAUUCACCGUGCUGCCUUCCAGGUGUUUGAUUAAAUGAGCGAACCAAAUAUAUGUUAUAGGGAAUUAAAUUAUAGUUGUUCUUCUUUUUUAGCCCUAACAGUAGAACAAUCGUUAUACAAUAUUUUCAUUAAUAAAGAAAAGUUACAAAAUACAAAUAUUAACAAUGUAUAGACCUCUCAGCCUAUCCCUGUUCUAGGAAUUGGAAGUCAUGCCAUUAUAAAACCAAGUCAGACCAUUGUUUUAUCUUGCUUGCCUUUUCUUCUUUUGCCCGGAGUUGAACAGCCCAUAGUCCUUCCUCCAAAUAAAAUUUCCAUGUAUCUGUACUAGAAGGUGCUGAUUUGAAGAUGUUAUCAUUUCUCACUGACCAGAUGCUCCAACAACUCAUAAUGAUGAUGUCAAGUGCAAAGUCUUUAGGUAACUGAUUGGCAAUGAGAAGGAAUUCAUCAAAAGUAGAGAUGCCUCUGGUUCUUCCUAGUGCUAUAAUAUCCCAACAUGAGAGUGCAAAUGGGCAAUUCCAGAACAAAUGGAUCAAAGUUUCAUCCACAGCAUCACACUACUAAGGAAAACUUUAUACACAGAGAUAUAGAAGUAGCGCUGGACAAAAUGAAGCGCUACUGCUACUUAGUAGUAGCGCGUUGCGGUAAAAGGCGCUACUGCUAUCCUUUUAGCAGUAGCGCGUGUUAGCAAAACGCGUUGCUGCUAAGUUUGAACUGGGCGCACAUGGCUGGCCCCACUUAGCAGCAGUGCGUUAUGCAUACCUAGUGCUACUGCUAUGCUCCAUACUAGUAGUGUUUUUCAUGAACCCGCGCUACUACUAACCCUACCUUAUCGUUCCCGCGUGGCCGACCCUCUCCCUCUCCCUCUCAGUCACUCUCCCCAGCACCCCCCCCUCAUUGUCCGCCACCGCCGCCGUUCCCCAGCCACCGUCGUCGCCGCCGGCACGGACGCUCCUACUCCUCCAAUGAGGUAGCCCCUCCAUCCCUCCUCCUCCCUCCUCCCAUCCCUCCUCCUCCCUCCGCGCCCUCCUCCCUCCGCGCCCUCCUCCCUCCUCCUNNNNNNNNNNNNNNNNNNNNNNNNNNNNNNNNNNNNNNNNNNNNNNNNNNNNNNNNNNNNNNNNNNNNNNNNNNNNNNNNNNNNNNNNNNNNNNNNNNNNNNNNNNNNNNNNNNNNNNNNNNNNNNNNNNNNNNNNNNNNNNNNNNNNNNNNNNNNNNNNNNNNNNNNNNNNNNNNNNNNNNNNNNNNNNNNNNNNNNNNNNNNNNNNNNNNNNNNNNNNNNNNNNNNNNNNNNNNNNNNNNNNNNNNNNNNNNNNNNNNNNNNNNNNNNNNNNNNNNNNNNNNNNNNNNNNNNNNNNNNNNNNNNNNNNNNNNNNNNNNNNNNNNNNNNNNNNNNNNNNNNNNNNNNNNNNNNNNNNNNNNNNNNNNNNNNNNNNNNNNNNNNNNNNNNNNNNNNNNNNNNNNNNNNNNNNNNNNNNNNNNNNNNNNNNNNNNNNNNNNNNNNNNNNNNNNNNNNNNNNNNNNNNNNNNUCUGAUCCCACCGCCCUCCUCCUCCUCCUCCCUCCUCCCUCCUCUCUCCUCCCUCCUCCCUCCAUCUAUUUUUUUUUCUGUUUUUUACUGUAGUUUUUUUUACUAUUGUAUGUAUAGAUAUAUUGAUACAUGUUUUAGAUAACCUUGCAUUAAUAUGUCUAACUUCCAUUUCUGUUCUCUUCUCUCGUUCUACAGAUUUCAUAUUUGUAUUCAUUUUAAGAAUUCUUCAAGAUGCACAUAAUUUAGUCUCUGGUUACAAUCUAAAUGUAAGAAAGCACAUGAUCUGUAGAAGGUGCAACCAAUGUGUUAUCCAUGUGAUAAAAUUAAACUCAACAUGCUAGAUCAAAUAUCCAAGUCAACUAGAAAAGAGAUUUCCUUACAACUAUUGUCAAGCCGCAUUUUCAAAUCACAGACAGUUUUAAGCAAUGAAUGAUCUAAAAAAAUCAUCCUACCUGCCACCGUUUUUCUCUUUGGAUGUCCACAUAUUGUUUUUUUUUCAUGGUGAGCGUUUGUGCCAAUAGAUAAACUAACGAGUUUUUCAUCUUGUGGUCGAAUCAAAGAUAUUCGAUUCUGUGUUUUUCAUGAUCUUGCUUGUACGUACGACCAUGAAACUACUAUUGUUAUCAUGUAUGAAUACUUGCAAAAGGGUGCUUCAGCGCCAGCACCGACCAUGGAUGGACAUGAGUAUGCAUGGAUGCGUGCAUGUAACGACCUGUUGGCUCCUGCAGGUCAAAGUACAUGGUUCUCUUAGGUCUUUGCACCAUCAAGGCCUUGAACAGUUCCUUGAUGAGUGUCAAGGUGAGACUUCAUGUCUCUAUGGUGAACAGACAAACUUCAGCGGAUAUGUUGCUGUCAUGGCACGGCAAAGAACAGAACAAUAGAUGGACUCUUGCCACUAGUAGUAUUGAUCCACGCUUGACACAUGACUACUCAUGGAGAAGACCCAUUCCUUUAUAACAUUUCCCUUUUAUUCAGUCUGUUUUGGUGAAUCAGCUGUCAGAAGAACUUCUUCUUCUUGUUCUUCUAUUAAAAAUAGGUUUUUAACCCAAAUUAAAGUUAGAUUUCACAAGGAGUGAACCAGUGGCAUUGUUGUAUCCCCUUGAAGCAGAGAAGACAAGUGAGCGACAAUCAUAUUUCCAAUUAUCCAGCUGGUCUUUUACAAGUACUAGAAGAACGCCCGUGUGUUGCAAAGGGGUCACAUUACCUUUAAGAGUUCAAUAUUAAUAUUCUCAUACAUAUCAAGUGACAUUGGCGACUUUUUUUACCAUCAAAUCCUCACACACACACACUCUCUCCCUCCCUCUUCCUCACUCUCUCCCCCCCCCCCUCUCCCUCUAUCUCUCUCUAACNNNNNNNNNNNNNNNNNNNNNNNNNNNNNNNNNNNNNNNNNNNNNNNNNNNNNNNNNNNNNNNNNNNNNNNNNNNNNNNNNNNNNNNNNNNNNNNNNNNNNNNNNNNNNNNNNNNNNNNNNNNNNNNNNNNNNNNNNNNNNNNNNNNNNNNNNNNNNNNNNNNNNNNNNNNNNNNCACAUACACACACACAUAUUCAUCUUAUUGGGUACGGGACCAUAAUCCAUCUAUUUCACACACACACACACACGAUAGUGCAUAACUAUAUGGAUGUGUAUUAUAUUUGCCAUCACAACUGAGGGAAUUAAUUUCAUGUAAAUCGACCAGCCACAGCUCCAAGAAUACGCGGAGGAGGUGGCCCGGGUCGGCAUCGGCGGAUGUCCGGCACGGGCCACGGGCCCGCUUCCAUGCGCGUCUGUGCGCCGGCCACCCACGCCGGGUCCUUCAAGUGCCGCUUCCACCGCACCAAUUCCUAGGGCCACGGCCACGACCACGGACAGGGAAGCCGCCCUUCUUUGCCCCCUUCACCGGCCGCGGCGAACGCGGUGCCGCGGCAUCCGACCUCGCCGUCCUCGUCCUCCGGCACCGCCGCGAUCCAGUGACGCAGCCCAAUCAUCGGCCUCGAGAAUCAAGAACGCUCGACAACGCAGAGGGAAGGGAAGAUCAUUACAUGUCAUAAGAAAGGGAGUUUAUUUACUGCUCCCUCGAUGUAUUGUUUCCUUUGUUUGGAGAUUGAUUACCAUCCGUGAGUUAAGGUAAGGUUAAUGUGAUUGAGCGAUUUUUCUGAAAAUCAAAUAUUUGUUUUCUAAUUAAUGUGAUUGAGUGAUUUAAGGUAAGGUUAAUUAAUUUAGAUUUGAUCUUUAGAGAUUGUUCGUGAUUGAUUCUACAUUACUAAAUAACUUGCGUCAGUAUGGAAAGUUCUGAUCUGUUUAGAUUUCUUUCGUUGUGUGAGAGGGUGACGCGAAAAUAAACCGAUGAAGUGGGGGGGGACGAAAAAAAAUCUAUGAAAAAAAUCAGCGAAGGUGGGAGGAGGUACCAAAAAAACCAUGAAAGGUGGGACGAAAAAAACCUGAAAGCGAGACUACCAACUGCUCCAUUAGGAGUAGAGAUCCCUUCUUGAAUACUCGGUUCAAUAAAUAAGUUAUUCACACUUCACAGCCAUCCAUGUGCAUAUAUAGUAAGUUAAUAACACAAAACCCGAGUAAAUUUAUGCCACAAAAAGGUUCAGUAUUAUUAUUUCAAAUAACUGAUGCAACAACAAAUAAUAUUAAUCGCGGACAUCAUAUGAUAUUAGCAAGGCGUUGUUGAGGAUGAGAAGCAUGUACAACUCCUCGUUUUCUUUGAUGAGCACCUCCGCACCAGGCAUAUCUGGAAGCUCUAACCAACACACGACGAUAGGGUUGUAAUUCAUAUCCACAAAGUCGGGCAGAUGCAAGAACUGCUGCCCACUCUUGUCACCUUGGUAGUCCUUGAUCAGGCCGUGGCACACGUUGAGGCGUCUCACCACAUCUUCAUACUCCACCUCACAAUAACUGAGAACGUGCAUUGCCACUGUUCCCUUCUUGGCAUCUUGAAGCUUUUGCUUGACCUUACCACUAGCGGCAGUGAUACAGCUCUUAAAGAUGUCGACAGUGACGAGCACUAAGUCACGGAGGUCCUUAGCCUCGGCACUUCAAUUGUCCGACUGAAGGGUGGACAAACAGAAUUCUUGCGUGACAGAUUCGUUGUAGGGGUUGUUGAUCAAGGCCUUCUUGCAUGCUUCCACCAUGAGCUUGGUCGCUUUGGGCUUGCCAGUAUCAGAGUGAAAGUGCAACUAUCCCUAGGUGGUUUUGGUAAUUCCUAACAACAUAUAGCUCAUUGAGCUAAUACUAUUCCAAGAUGAAUUUUUUAGGUAAGCUCAAUGGUUGGCAUGGCAUGGAUUAGAAAAUGGACCCUUCAAAAUGCUAAGGACAAAAGAUUGGCUCAAGCUCAAAGCACAAGACUCUACAUUUUCUAUUUUAGUGAUCCAAGAUCACAUUGAGUCUAUAGAAAAAGCCAAUACUAUUAAGAAGGGAUGAGGUGUUGCUUAAUGAGGUGCUUGCUCAAAAUGCUUAGUGAUAUGCUCCAAAACCCUCCACUACUUUCUCAUAUCCACAUAUGUCCCAAACCUAAAAGUCCAACUCGGCCCCACCGAUUCAUUCUAUCCGGAGCCACCGAGUUCAGUUGACAUAGCCAUUGCCAGAAACCCUAGUCUAUUCGGUCUCACUGAUAGGGAUCUCGGUCUCACCGAGAUGGGAUUGGAACCUCUCUGUUUCCCUUCAUAACUUUUCGGUCAAACCGAGAUGAGCGGUCGGUCCCACCGAGCUUGCAAUGCAAACACCCUGUUUCCUUUUCGUAACGUUUCGGUCCAACCGAGAUGAGCGAAUCGGUCCCACCGAGUUUGCCUGACCAACUCUCUGUUAGUCUAUUACCAAAAUCGGUCUCACCGAGUUUGUGUAACCGGUCUCACCGAGAUUACGUUAUGCCCUAACCCUAAUGAAAUCGGUCCCACCGAGUUGACGUGACGGUCCCACCAAAACACCUAACGGUCACAUUAUGAACCAAAUCGGUCUAACCGAGUUCUUUGAAUCGGUCCCACCGAGUUUGGUGAUUUGUGUGUAACGGUUAGAUUUUGUGUGGAGGCUAUAUAUACCCCUCCACCCACUCUUCAUUCAUGGAGAGAGCCAUCAGAACAUGCCUACACUUCCAAUACAUAUUUUCUGAGAAAGAAUCACCUACACUUGUGUUGAGGUCAAGAUAUUCCAUUCCAACCACAUAAAUCUUGAUCUCUAGCAUUCCCCAAGUUGCUUUCCACUCAAAUCUUCUUUCUACCAAAUCCAAUUCUUUGAGAGAGAGUUGAGUGUUGGGCAGACUAUCAUUUGAAGCACAAGAGCAAGGAGUUCAUCAUCAACACACCAUUUGUUACUUCUUGGAGAGUGGUGUCUCCUAGAUUGGCUAGGUGUCACUUGGGAGCCUCCGACAAGAUUGUGGAGUUGAACCAAGGAGUUUGUAAGGGCAAUGAGAUCGCCUACUUCGUGAAGAUCUACCCUAGUGAGGCAAGUCCUUCGUGAGCGACGGCCAUGGUGGGAUAGACAAGGUUGCUUCUUCGUGGACCCUUCGUGGGUGGAGCCCUCCGUAGAGUCGCGCAACCGUUACCCUUCGUGGGUUGAAGUCUCCAUCAACAUGGAUGUACGAUAGCACCACCUAUCGGAACCACGGAUAAAAAAUCUUCGUGUCAACAUUGCGUUUGCUCCCUAAAUCUCCUCCCUUUACCUUCAUAUGCAAUUGUUUUACAUUUCGCUGCUAUACUCUUAGAAUUUCAUGUGUAGGUUGAUUGCUUGACUUGUGCUAAGUUGCUAAAAUCUACCAAGAACUAAAAUUGGGAAAAGGCUAGAUUUUUAUUUGGUCAAGUAGUCUAAUCACCCCCCCCCCCCUCUAGACAUACUUUCGAUCCUACACAGAGCCACUAGCAUGAGCGGAAAAAAGGAAGAAGAUGAUGGUGGAGAGGACGAUGGUAGUCCUUGGCAUUGCUACCAUUACUGCAGGGCUAGCUAGAAGCCUUGAAGUACUGAAGCGCUGAGAGGGAGGUGGAGAAAAAUAGACAGAGAAGGAUGUGUAUUGCAGAGAUGGAUG